ensembl:lncRNA
UUUUUUUUCUGUUAUUUUCAAGUGAAUCAUUUAUCUAGCUUGGGUUCCUCUGAGUUCAAAUUAAUGGUUUAUUUUUAAAUUUAAAUUGAAGUAUACAAUAUGCUUUUAAUUCUACAUGGCAGAGUUUUCUAUAAGCUGGGAAAUGGUUAUCAUCUUUGUAUCCCUGAAAUAUAAGUGAAAGGGUUUGUCUUUGUUUCCAUGCAAGUCAGCAUACUUGCACAAAUACAUGAUUUCUAAGCUUUGGUUAACAAGAGAAAUAAGAAAAUUGAACUGAAAUAGCUUAUUCGGGUGGGGGUUGGGGAAGAAAGCCAAAAUCGUAUAUAAUGAGAAAUAUGCAUCCAGAAACACAGAAGACCUCACAAAUAGAAAACUUGAUUGCGUGCAAGAUCUUUCUCUCCUAGAUAUUUCUUUGCCUUUAUGCUUCACUACCAUCUGUUAAUCAUUUAGUUUUUCUAGAGCCUGUCAUAUUCUAACAUCUCUGUGGCAGUGAUACACAUGACAGAGUGCAGACCAACAAAAUAUUUUAAUUAGCACUUUCCAAAUGUUCCAGCAGUAACCAGGCUGAAUUGGCCUGAUUAGUCACAGCUGAGAAGUGGAAACCUUGUACUUGGGAAUGUGGGCUUCUUUGACAAAGGCAAGAGGGCACAGCUACAGAAACUUGUAAAAUCUCUUGCUGCAGUGGACCAAUGAAAUUUACUCUUCAUUGCAGAAUUUCAGAGACAGAACCACAAGGUCAGUAAUACAUUAAUACCGUGCAAUAUCACUUCUCUCUAUGCAUCAAUCCCCUCAUUUUCACCGCAAAGUCAUAUUUUGCUUUUAGCUAGAGCCUCGUGUAGGGGGCUUGUUUUCUGUUUUUUGUAGCAUUGUGCUCAGUCAGAUUGCACUAUCUACCACUCCUUUGUAUUUAUAACAUAAAUUUAUACAACUGUACUGUAACUUGUCACUUGUUUCCCUUUGAACUUUGUAAUUUGGGAUUUAUAAAAUGUAUCUUGUUCUGGUGAGCCUGUUUUGCAAGGUAGCCAGGCUGUCCAGUAUGAACAUCACCAACUAUAGCCUUCUUAGCAUUUUCAUUUUUGUCAUCACUUGCAGAAUUUAUCUACUGUUUCCUUUUCAAACUUUCUUUGGAAUAACAUUGAAUACAAUUCAGCUUUAAUAUAAGUUUUAAUUAAAUAGUGUUAUCUGUUUGCUGUUUUUUUGUUUGUUACGUUUAAUAAGACCAGCAUGUUCUUCUGCAUACGGGUUGAAUAGCGUUCACCCUUCAUGACCAGCUAUUUAAUUUCUCACUUUUAUCUUCUUCAUUCAGUAUUUGGCCUCAUAUUUUAUUUCAAAUUAUAAGAACAGGCUGGAAUUAUUAAUUUCCUCAUGGACUUCAUUACAGUAGUCAACACAGUGCAUCGUAGUUUUUUUUUCAGUGUUUCUGAGGCAUUUAUUUGGACACCUUUUUUACAAACUUCUCUGAGAUACAUAACGAAUGUUCCCAUUGUACUGAGAAGGAACUUAGAUACUAGGAAACUAGGAAACAGUUUCACAAGAAGCUAAGCUAACAUUCUUUGUGGGUUUUUUGUUCCCCCCAACCUGUUAGACUUCUUUGUGGCUAAAUUCAACUUGUUGAAAACUCUUUUGCUUUUGUCUCCCAUUAUUAACUUAUUGGAGUGGUUUGGAGAGAGCAAAGCCCCUCUGCCUGUCAAGACAAGUGGGCAGUUAGACUUGUUUCCUUGUGUCUCUCAUAACUUCAUAGCAAGGUUAAGCACACUGUGACUGAAGCCAUGUUUAUAAACAUCACUAAGCAGUUGUUUCCAUAAAUGUGUUACCUUUUGAUAAUCAAGGAUGCAUUGUAAGCAUAUGGUGCUGUAUAAACAUCUUGGUAUUUUAAGUAUUUAAGUACCUCACCCCAAAACCCCAAGAGCAGUUUCUAGUACAGGACAGGCACUUAUUAAUGCAAUGUUUGUACUGACAUGAGGCCGAGACAGAACAUGCUUAUUGGUGGAUAAGCACUGUGGCAAACGCAAAACAGACGCAAGUGUUUCUAUACUCUGUGUUUAGUCAUACUUUUUUUUUCUCCACCUGCUGAAGGUGACGAAGAGGUGAAGCUUAGACUUCAGUGACAACAAGAUUUCUUGGGGGGCUGCUUCUGUUCCCAGCUGGGAGAGCAAGUUCAAUUGUCUUCUGUGUGAGACACUUACAUGGCUAAUGAGGUUUUCAGAGCUCCCUAAGGGAAUAUGCUGUGCUGUUGAAAGUGGCAACUGGAAUAGCUUGAUCUUCUGUCUUACAGAAUGUACUAGCUUUUCAUUGUAAGAUCACAAAAUCAGUCAAUGUACUGAAUGACUUCUUUGAGAUAAGUCACAUGUGAAUAUCACAUUUGUGUGAAGAAUGCACAAUAAAUUAUCACUAGUGAAUAGUAGAAUUGCCACCAGUGAAAGGUGAAAUUAGCUUAAUUUUCUUCAUACCACCCUCAAUCUCUUCGGCAAAUACUAGGAUGACAGCUGCUUUUUCAGUACUUUCUUUCAAAAGGGACCAAGUUAUAGGAACUGUUCAUUAAUUAUUUCUGUUUUCCUUGGUCACUUUUAUACUCUCUAACUCUAAAAAGGCACAGAAGCUCUACAGAUAGCUGUUUCUCUCUGCUCCUUACUUAUUCUCUCAAUGUACUUAUCUUACUCUCUGAGUGAGAGAGGGUCCUUUGGAGAAAAAUAGCCUGCAAUUGCAAUGAAAGCUGUAUUUGUUAUUGUCCCUGUUCUGCUGAGGUAGGUAGAUGUUAUCUUGAGUGUUCAGUUUAUUGCAUCUCAUUUUAACACUGUGAAAGAGGAUAGUUUCUAAGGGAGUUGCCAGCCAACCAGAAAAUCUCUUUAUAGGAGAUCCUAGACAAUCCAAUGGAUUUCUAUAUAGUGAAAGUCUGGUUAUUUAUUUCCUACAUGAAUAAAAUCUAAUGCAAGUGAAAAUGUUUUAGAUAAUAUUUGUCAUUUUUUGAGUGGCUGUCAAGUUUAGCUUUGUAUAGAAAAAUGCUUGCUCUGCUUUGAAAAAAGCUGGUGAUAGCUGCAUCCAGAUGGGGAAAAAAUGAACUUUUUAUAUUUGUACAAAUAGUAAAUAUUUUUUUGGCAGCCUCUGUUUCUCAGGUGCUUGGGGGCUCAAAGGAAUCUAGCAAGACUUGCAAGGCAUGUAACAGACAAAUCUAUUUUAACCCAUGGCACAACAUUUGCACAAACUUGACUAUUCUACCCACGUUCUUCCUGCUGUAUCUGUGUUUUUUUUGUUUUUUUUUAGUGUGAGCUUCCCAGCACAGCGAUUGGAAACCCUGCCAGCAUUCCCUCUUGUGUGCCUGAUGUGACUAAGAAAUCACUUUCCUCUAUUAGAUACAGUUUUGACUAGCUGAUGAAGAAAAAUGAAGAAGUUGUUUCUUUUAAGUCCAUUCAUCUUCACUAGUGUUGAAGGAUCCUUUUAACCAGUGCUGUUGGUCAUGCUUUCUAGUAACUAGGGCUCUCAACCAAAAAUGUUGUAUUGGUCAGGUGCAGCAGUUUUAAGAGGACAACAUCAUAUAGAGUAAGAACAGUGUAGAUUAUUCAUUGUCAAAAUUGUGCAAACAAGAUGAAAAUAUUUAUUUGGUACUCAUUGGAGGCAGAAAAAUUGGCUGUUGUGUUCUGAAGGACUGAUUUCCACCCCCCCCCCCGCCCCAAGCCUCCCCUGCAUGUGUUUGGUCAGAGUUUUCACAUAUUCGUUAUCCCUGUGUACUUCCAUACAGUCAGAGAAGUCCCUACUGAGGGCCACUCUGCAAGUACAGUAUGCAUCUUGUCCUUGUCUUUUGGGCCUCCAGGCCUGCUAGUACGUAUGCCAUCUUUGCUUAAUGUGAGGGGGGAAUAUUGCCUCAGACUUUAUUCCCACCAAAACCUGAUAAGCCUCAAUAGAUUCCUGUUCUCCCCAGGGUAAAAGCUGCCCACUGCUUUGUCUGGAGACUUAGCAAAAGAAAGAUAAAUGAAUUACUUGCUUAAGUAAGGGAAAAACAAAAUUUAUUUAUGAGCCUUUUAGUGUUGUGCUUUUGCCUCUUUUCAUUUUGUCUUUCAUUAAGGAGUGGAAAAAUUUGAAACUAAUUACCACCAUGUCAGGUGAAAUAAUUUUACAUUCUCUUUGAAUAUUCUCUGGUAUUACUAAACGUGCACCCCAAAGAAUAGCCUUUUUUAAUGUCUACUUCUUAUAUCUUGUGUUAGUAAUACACUUGCUUCCAUAGCGGAGAACUUUACGCUGUAAAUGGUUGUCUGUGUUAAAGGAGAUCCUGGGCAAUAAUGCCCUUUUUAGUAGUAUGCUAAUUUGACAUAAUUUCUUCAAUUUUUAGGUUUCACUGAUUUUUUUUUUUCUUUUUUCCCCCCACUGCUGUCUAAAGAAAAAUGAGCAUGCCUUUUUUUCUCCUCAGUUUAUAUUAGCAUUAGAAAUGACCUGUAUUCUUUCCAUAGGGUAUGAGCAAGAUUGUUCAAGCUGCAUUUCACAGAAAUGCUUACUUGCCUUCUGCUGCCCUUCUGAAAUAAAAUAGUUAAACUACAAAUAUAAAACCAUAUUGAUGUGCGCAUUUGGUACUUCAAAACUUUCUGUUGAUAUUAAAACAAGAUAAUAAGCAUUGCCACCACUGACUAAAAGAAUAAAGAGUAACUAGGCAUGACAUUCAUGUCUUAUUUCUUGUGUGUAUAAAUUCAUACACAUAUUUUGUGUAUAAAUUCACACGCAAAACACACACACAUGGUAGCUACUUGCUACACUAUGCCCCCAACCUGAUCUACCCUUAUGUAUUCCUCUAGAGUAUGCAAAAGCCUUCAAGUAAUGUGUUACUACUACAAGUCAUAUCUGUCUUAUGUUGUUUAUUCUUCUCAUUUUCACAAAGGAGAUUUGUAGCUGGUUUCAUUUUGAUGUAAGUCCUUUAGAAAAACAAAUACCCUCCUGUGUCUGUCAAGGAAGAUGCAUCAAAGAAAGUGCUUUGCACUUAGAAGAUAGUGAGGUUUGCUAUAGUUUUUAGUUCUUUUCAGUUUUAGUACCAGAAGUUAAAAUCUGCCUUGGAGAGAGGAAGUUCUAAUGUGCAGAAAUGAUUUGGCUCCAUGGUAGGAAAUGUCAUCUCACAUGGGGAAUGUAUAUUUUUUGCAUCAAACCAGGUGAAAUGUACACAGUUUAAAAACAAAACAGAUAAACAAAAGAAAUCAGGUUGUAUUUUAAAUCCUCAGCUUCUUUUUCUGUCUACAGAAGUUAAUAAAUAGGUAGAAAUAAAAAAUCCUAAGUACAGAAUAUACAUUCUAGAAAGCUGAGAAGACAGGAGUGGUAGAAUGCAACUUUUUUUGGAAAAAAAAGAAACGGAAGUCAAAAAUACAGGACCCUUUGUAGGAAGCUUUAUAUGAUCUUUCAGGUUGCACAAAUCAAUCCUUAAAAGGGAGAAUUCUAUAAAGAUUCAUGUUAAGUAAGUAACUGAACUUAAAUUGGUUCAUUUGAUUUGUGUAAAAAUAUUUGUAGAGAUGGGACCUGUGAUAGAGUUGGAAAAGGUGGCAUGUAAAUGUGGAGCAACAAACGUGUGCUUUGGAUUAAGAAUAUUAAUUUUUUGUAUUUCUGCCUAAAUUUAGACCUAUCUAUAAAUUUGGCCUGAUGACUUGAAUUGAGUUUGUUGCUGUAGAUGUGAGGGGUUCUCGAAUGCCGAAAUUAGGCAUGCUGCAAUCAUAUGCAUACACACAGAAAGAGGCUACAUUUUAACUUUUGAAGCACAAUGCAGUAGCUCACAUGCAUGCUUUAACAGUAUUAGGUAAAGAGGAUAUAAGUAAAACUAAGAAUGUAUUUUUGGUGUAUCUGGUGAUUGAAAUGAUGCAUGUGUUUCUUUCUAUUUGGUUUAGUGGGAUUGUGAUGAAGAGGGAGUAUGUAUUUCCAUACACUUAUUGCAUUGUUAGUAUUUUUUUAGUAAGGCACUCAAAGUAUUAUAUAACUAAACAUUGACGUAACUUUAUUGCUGUGAUGAAUAGAGAACUUGUUCUCUGCUAAAGAAUUGUAGUUGUUGCUGCUAAUCUUUAGCUACUCUUUGUUUCUCAAAGCUGCAAAUGCAGGAAACAGUAACUGAGUAAAUUUAAAACUGGAAAAUUAAUCUCUUUUUAACUUCAGUGUUGGCAGUAUAUUUGUAAAUGAAAUUUAUGCUGUACUUACCAUGCUAUUUUCUUUGUCACUCUGUCCUCCCUUGCACCCAUGCCCCUAUCAAAUUCAAGUACCAACAUACUGAUUCUUUGAUUGCUGUACAGUAUAAGGAAUUAACUAUGAAUUAUGAGACAGACUUUUGUGUGAGUCAUUAAAUCACCAGAGUUUGAGUGUUUCUGUACAUUCACCUAGCCUGUAGGCAAUGCAUAACGCUGUGCAAUGUCUGCUGAAUGGGCUGGAUUAAAUCCCUAAAUUCCUUUUAAUUUCAGACUGUUAUUAGGUAUUGUCUCUAGUCAUAGAAACAGGUACGUUUUUGUUCUUGGCUGCAAUUAAAAGGCGUGUGCAUUCUGUUUUUUCUGCUUUGUAUGUAAGCCAACAAAAUAUUAAUAUAUGAAUAUUUUCUAAAAAUGUCUGUUACAAUUAUUCCAAAAGUACCCCUAGCCUUGUGCAUCAAACUUCAGAUAACAUUCUUAACAAUACAGGGCAGAUUAGAAAUGUAGUAAUCAAGCUCUUACGUUUCUUAGUCAGAUAUGUAUACUGGAAAAUAUGGAUCUAAAAGCCUACUUAACUCUAUUUAACCUUCUUUAUGACAUAGGACUUGGACUUUGUUCUAUUAUCUUUAGUGAAGCGCAAGCUGAGAAUUAAACAUUUCUUUGGGUUCCUUUUCAUUGAAAAUUGAUUUCAGUAAGUAUAAUGAGAGGUUUAAUAAGAGGCGAAGUACGGCCUGUUCAGUUGUAAAUGGCAGUCUUUCCAAGUUCAGAAAGGUCUCUUUAACAGAGCUAUCAAUUACUGGCUUUUGGUUUCCAUCUAUUUUCCAUGUCCUUUUAAACGAAUGAUCUGCGUGGAAGCAUUAAUGUUGUUUACUGUUUGUAAAGUAGCAGUACGAUUACUUCAAGAUUCCUGUUUCUAGGUUGCUUUACUAGUUGAAGUAAUGGCAUUGAUUGAUGGUGAAGAAAAAUCUCUUUGCUGGAGCUGCAUGGAUUCUGUGUGUGUGUACGGGGAAGGAAGAGUGGUAGUCUUAUUUAAUCUAUUCUAGCUGUUCCCAAGGAAUGGAUGGUGAUACCUUAUCUCUUCCCUGGUGCAAAACUUUAGAGGAACUUUCACCUAGGGUAUUAAUGAAGCUGUGUAACAAGUAUUAUUUAAGGCAGAAGAUAAAUGUUCCCAGCAAUACUGCUUUGUGAAACUUCCUUUGGCAUUUUUCUAUAUUUCCCUGCUUUGCUCAGUAGUACAUCUUAUACUUUAACUUCAUAUUUUCCCCUGUUUAUAUCACCUUUUAAUGCUUAAGUUUUUUUAUUCUUCUUGGUUUCCAAAGUUGUUUUUUCUUUCAAGUGAAAGACAAGAGUGCUAGAGCAUAAUCAAAACAACAUUUUCUGUACCACCUCCUCUAAAUAUGUGCAUGGCUUUGAGUGGGACAGUAAACUUCCUAAAUGGUCAUGGCAUGUAAAAUGAUGUAGCACAGAAUGAAUCACUUUCAGCAGUCUUGACAAGGUGGGAGAUUUGAAGUGUUCUGAUUUGAACUGAAACUAUCCACCUGAUUUUUCCCUUAAUUACAUAAAUUCUUUUCUGUUCUCUACUCUGAACUCUAAGAGCUACUUAUCCACCUACAUGGUUUAUCUACAGAAACCGUACCAAAAGUUUUGUUUCUCACUCUGUAUUAUUGGAUAUAUAUUUGAACUGUUUUUUUAAUCACUAGAAAACUUAGAUAUUUUUAAAAUGAAACCAUUUAUGUUAAAUUGUGAGUACAUUCAAUGAUCUGGAAUGUAACUAAAAUUCAAGUACAGAUUUGGAUCGCCAGUUUAACUAUAUAUUUUAUUUCAUGUCAGAAAUUUUAAUUUGGUUUUCAAUAGCACAUUUUAUUUUUUUUAAUGUUAUCUUACUAUAAUUUUUAUUAUGAAUAUAUUUUAAUCAGUUGUCAAAACAAUACUUCAUGUUCUUCUAACAUUUUGUAAGAGCUACAAAAUGCUACAAAAUUAUUAUCUAUUUCAGAAUAUGAAAUGUGCUUUCAAGAAACAAAUUUGAGGUUUCCUGUUCAUGACUUUUUUUGUAUUGACAUUUUCAUGAGAACUCAUAGGUUAUUUGUAUAAUGUUUUCCCUGCUCUCUUCACUCUUAAACAACUUUCCACUCAGCCCAUAACAUGCUCACCUGCUCUUGUUUGAAUCAAAUACGAUAGCCGUGGACUUCAUUGUGGACAAUUUCUAGGAAUUAUGCUGGUUACCCAUCUCUGCUGUAUCUCUGAGCCUGCGUUAGUGCUACUGUCCCUGUAUUCCAUCCAGACAACUCAGUAAAAUAAAUGAACCUGUCCUAAUGAUAAAAAAGGUUGGACUCUAUUCCACAAUGAUUAUGCUGUUCAUUUUCUUUAUUUAUCAAAUAGGAUAUUUCUGUAUCUAUAUUCUGUAACAUAGGAUGAGGAGGAUGUUAAAAGCCUCUGGCAAAAUUUAUCUGUUGGUGUUGUAUGUAUGUUUCUUUCAAAGGUCCUCUUGAAAAUUAGUUUUCCUUGGUGCCUCAAUUUUUUUUUUUUUGCUCAGAUGGACAUAAAUCUUUUAAGGUGCUCUUAUACUAUUUCGUCCCUUUCUUGAAAUGUAAAAAGUUGAGAGAAUGGAUGACUAUAUACUCCCCACUGCCUAUUUCAGUGGCUUUUCAGUGAGCAAAUAUACCUAGAUGAGUCCCCAUGCCAGCCUUCUAAAUAAGCAGUUUGGCAACAAAAGUUGUGGACUGCUGAGCACAUCUGGAGGGUAAGUGCAUAAAUUCUAAAACCAACCCUACAAUUGCCUUUAAUCUGUCCUACAUAUAUGCCGAAGGCUUCCCUCUUCCCUUGCUAAUGCUUUCAUAAUUCAGGACUGUAAUUCACCUGGGGGUCGCUUGUGCUCUGUCAACAUUUAGCUGUUCUAAUUACUUAAUUAUCUGCUCUGGUGAAGUGAUGAGGCUUUGGCAUUUCACUUUUUCCCUAGGAAUAUGCAUCUGUAGUCUGUUGUAUAUAUCAAUCUCUGUAUCUGUUAAAUACAGGGAAAAAUAUUUCAGUUUAUGCGGUCUUCUAGUGACAACUGCAUUGUCACCGAUUACUAAUUCUAGGACGCUCCGCACUCAGUCUCUUGCUUGUUUUAGCCUGUAGAUCUUUGUGAAAGGUUACACCUGCUUACCUUUGAAUUUGCUGGUGAAACAGGCUGAAAAGGAUGUGUUGGAUGAUUUUUUUUUUUGUUAAUCUAAUUAAACUGGAAAGCUGCUUUACAGUGGGUCCCUUUGAAAGACAGGUGAGAAGCAUGGCCUCAUCAAGCAAGGAAGCUAUCUUGUACAUAGACUUAAUUCUACGUUUGGAGAUCAUAGCUGUUGCUAGCGAGUGACACUGUAGUGAAGAGCUGUAAUAGAUGAUGAGAUUAAAGUUGGUAAUUAAAAAAUGGCAAAAGGGAUGCAAAACUGUUUUUCUGUAAUAAGUUUUUGUUUGCAUGCUGUCUGAUUUUCAUUGCAGAAGGGAAAGUAGGUGCCAGUCAAGUUUGUGUAGUAAAAGUUUUUGUAGUAAACAAAAAUGGAAGAGGUGAGGUUCCUAACUACUGUUGACUAUUAAGAAUUUUCUUAAAUGUACCUUUUGUUUUUCUUUAACAUUUUCUUUCCCAGUCUUAGAUAAAUAAACAUUGACUUAAAUAUUACUGAUAGCUCAGUGAUGCCAGUUAAAUGAAAUGUAUAGAAAAAUGCUUCAAGAAGCACUUGCUCCUUCAGUCUUUGCAGUUAAAAGGACUCUUGAAAAGCUGCAGAAGAGAUGUCAUCUUUGAGUGUAGAAACAAAAGAGAGAAAAGAUUCUACUUACACUAAUAAAGUAGCGACCGUACACCUACUAUAAUGGAGCCUAAGUACCAUUUAUUUUGAUUUGUUUAUUGGAGACAAAGGAAGAGAAUCAUCUUAUUUCCUGAGCAAGAUUUACUUCAGUGAUAACAUUUGAGUGAUGGUGGUGAAAAAAGCAUUGCUUUAUAAGAAGAAAAAUAAUGUACAAGUUCUGUUGAGUAACGUGGUGAAUUUCAGUGGCCGUAGCUGUAAUUAUCAGCAUUCACAAAACCAUCUCAGUAAGCUCCUAAAGAUUUGUGUUCCUCCUCACUCCACUCGCCACUAGGAGGGACUGUAUUCUUGUUGUAAUUAUAAUUAUAUACUUUUGCAGCUUGUGUCAUAAGAGGUUAGCUUUUGGUUUUUUUUCCUUAUGCCUGUGCGCACUAAUAGAUCUGUAGGAGCAGUAAUAAAGCUUCUUCUAAGGUUUAAUGCAGAAAAUUGAUUUCUUUUGACCAGAUAAAUAGGCAAAUACAAAGGGAAUUAGUAAUGCUGGAGAAAGAAGAAACUGGAAGACAUGAAAUCUUCUAGCUUUCUCCAAUACUCCUGUGAUAUAUUUCUAAAGAAUGUGUUUCUUGGUGUCAACCUUAAUUUUUCUAUCUCUAAAUAAGCAAGUGUGUUUUCUUGAUAAGCUCUGGACUGAGACUUUCUAAGUGUUCACCUGAAGCUUAUUUAAGCCACUGAAAGAUUUGCGGAGGAAUCCUGAGAAAGCCACUUGCUCAGUCUAUGCUUUGUGUGUGUGUGUGUGUGUGUAUAUAUAUUUCAAUUUAUUAAGGCAUUAUAUGUUGAACAGCCUUCUAAAGAUAGUGUCUACAGAUGAAAAUUGUAUAUUAUAAUAUUGAUCUUUCUAUUCCUACAGUUUGUUUCACUGUAGAGUAAGUCUUUGUGAAAUUAAGUGAUUGCAAAUUCCAUAGGCUAACCGGAGUUCCUGACAUACAGCUGGGAUUUGCUGUGAGAGAUGGAGAGGCAGUUUUGCUGUUAUCCCUUCUAGCGUGGUUAAGUUAAAAAUGCUUUUGAGGUCUUGGGUGUGGAAACAACUUGGUCAGGACAAGUCUUACCAGCCCCCAUCUUCUCUGCCCUUUUAUUAAUGUGCCAAAAUAGUUUGUGCUUCCAUCCUGUCUUCCCUACCCUGCCUAGAUGUUUCUGGAGGAUGUGGUUUUGUGAUACAGCCAAGUGAGAUAUGCCCUUUUUACUUCUGAAUGAGGUGGUCUGCUCAUAACUGCUAUCCUUCAUAUGCCAGUUCAGAUUCUUGUUUGAUUCCACAAUAAGUAGUUUGGGGAGUUAAACUGGCAUAAAAGUAUUCAUGGUUAACUUGCACGGUUAUUUUUUCUUGUAGUUAAUCUUUUCAAUUGGCUUAUCCUUGGUAUUCAUUACAACCUGCACCCUGCCAAGAAAAAAAAUGCAGAGAAAAGCACUAUGCUCAAUUUCAGCAUUCAUUUUAUGACAAGAUCUGGAAAUGUAAUUUAAAAAAAAACAACAACAAAACAAAAACACAUCCAAAACUAAGAUGAUAUUGAGUGUAGUUCUAUUUAUAAAGAAAAGAAAAUCUUGCACAGUAAUUUCCUGUGCUUGCCUAUUAAAACCUAUGCAAGAAUAAUUUCAGUGAAACUAUAGAUUAGCAAAAUGAUACUGAGAGUGUAGUAGGCCACGUACAACUCUUAGAAGGCAUUUGUCCAAUACAAAGUUAUUUAAAUUAAGGAAGUACAAAGGGGAAAGUGCCUGAAAUUCAUCAUAUAGCGUGAAAAUGUUUCAAGGACACAAUUGUAUGUUACAUCAGGUAAGCUUGGUAAUGUGAACGCAUGGUUCACUAUCUGAUGAAGCAGUGAUGUUAACAACACCAACAGUGGCAUUUUGUUCUUUACAUCCUUCCUGUCUGCCAGAUGUAGGAGAGGAGGAGGUGGCCUGUCAGAGGUAUGUGGGUUUCUGCAGAACAAGAAAAGAUGGAGAGAAAAAUGGUAGACUUCCCACACAACCUGAUUGUUUUGCGAAGGGCUCUUACUCCCACAUCUCCUGGUUUAUUCUUAUAGAAGCAGUCUGCUUAUUUCCAUUAUCUAAUUUCUUAGGGGACCCUAUUAAAAUGUAUGGAUCCUGCAAGGGCAAAACUUAGUAGCACUAUAAAAAUAGCAUGACUGCAAGAGGGAAGGAUCUUUCUCAUAUACUUCAUACAGUGUAAACUCAAACUAAAGACUUUGAAAUAAGCAAAAUUGAUUUUUCACUAAGGGGGUAGCAACACUGUACUACCUGAGAGGAUGUCAGAAAAAUCCACAGAGCUUUUCCUUUUCUUCUAGAAAAAAAGUAGUCCUUAAUCCCUAGUUAUUAUCACAGUUUAAUAGACUCCCUCCUGUCUCCCAGCUAUGUUUUAACCUGGUUUAUGUUAAAAACAGUUCCCUGAGUUUCCCUUUUCCUGCAUAUUUUGCACUGGCAACCUAGUCAACCAAAAAUCUUGCAGUACUAACUUUAGGGGAAAAAAAAAAAAAACCUGAAAAUGCUGUAGGGAUGGAUGUUAAUGGGUACUAUUUUUUUUCCUUUGUGCUUAGUGCAGAAAUGAUUCAUGUUGCUGUUGAUUAAAAUUAUUUUAUAUUGCUCUAUAAGACAUUUAUACCUAAACUGCCAGGAUUUAAAGUAACAUCUUGGAUAUGGUCAUGAUUUAAGAGUUUGUUUUAUAAAACGUGUCACCUGUCAAUUACACGUACUCAGAAAGGAUACCUUAGCAAAUAGGUAAAAUGAAAACCCAGUUCAGGGUAUCCCUUGUAUACGUCUUUUCUGAAUACUGUAGAAAUUCCAAAUUUGUGUACUGCAAGCGUUGUCCUCUAGUUUUAAAAAGAGGAAGAAAAACAACAUCUGAAGCCUUGAAUCUGUAGUAUGUUCUUACAACACUGCUUUUAACUUUCAUCAUUUGAGAAGUUUGGAUUAACACUGAGCCUAGUUUGUUGCUGAAAAAUUUAUUUUAUUUAGAAGGCAGUUUUUAAUGAGACAAUAAAAGAGCUCAUGCAUAGUCCACACUGGCCGUGCUAGUAGUGCUAUGAUUUAGGCUGUGCUGAUAUAUACAUACAUGUAUGUAUACAUAUUUAAUAUGUAGUUGAAGAUGUUUUUUAUUAUGAUGUGGCUUUUUAUUGACAUGGAUAGUUUCUAGGGGUUUUUUUUUUUGAGAAAAGGAUGAUGUUUUUGUUAGUUUUGAUCCAAAUUAGUUAUCUUCCCAAUUCCUUCAACCAUGCCAGAAAAUGUUAGAUUUUCAUUAUAAAUGCAAACAAAUCCAUGAGGAAGGAAAUGCUUUGGAAUAAUGCCUAAUUGUUAUGGCUUCAUCUUGUAAAUUAAAGAUCUGACUUCAAUCUUCACUUUAAAAGAAGAAUUUGCACAGAACCCUGCACUCUGAGCAACUGCUUAGAUGUCUGGGCAUUUGGGCAAAAGGUUCCCCUUGUUAUUGCCUUGCAGAUAAAUGUGUUUGGUAUUGCUAAGAAGAGAGCUGUGGAGUCCUCUCUUAGUAUGUGUGUAGACAGAGAAUUCAGCAGUACUAUUGAGCAGAUUGUGAAUUUCUUAUGACAGUGGCUCUGGAGCAAAAUCAAGAAUUGAGGUGUGUAGUUCUUGCAGAAUGGCAUUGAUUUCUAGCUAGAGGUCAGUCCCUGAUAAAGAGUAAAGGAGCAGUUACAGAUUUAAUCCUUCUUCAUCUGCUUCUGAUACUCCAUCAAACUAAUUAGACCAUAGAAUGGCUUAGGUUGGAAGGGACCUCAGAGAUCUAGUUCCAAUUCAACUUUGCAGAUUUUCCUAAUGUUUAGAAGAACUUAAUUUGCUUAUCUUCCAUUUGUUUUGAAGUUAUGUUGUCACCACAGGAUACUUGCUUUGUUUUAAAUAACAGGAUGUAAAAUUUAGUGAAGAUCUUAGAAUCAUAGAAUUGCUCAGGUUGGAAGAGACCUUAAUGAUCAUCAAGUCCAACCACAACUUAACCAUACUACUCUAACAACCCUCUGCUAAAUCAUAUCCACGAGCACCACAUCCAAACAGAUUUUAAACACAUUCAUGUGGUGAAGAUCUCUGAAUAAUUUCACGUUUCUACCCUGCUUUUUUUUAACAGUUUGUGUUGAGCAUGUUUCAUUUUCUUUAAAAAGAAAAGCAAAGCAGAUUCUUUCUUUUCCUUCAAACAGAUGUCCUUCUUUUUUAUGUCUUUUCUAUGAUUCUAUAGGCUCCCCAGGGAAAUGAUCAUAGAAUGAAGCCUGCUGAAGCAUUUGAACAACACUCUCAGACAUAUGGUUCUGUGUAGGAUCAGGAGUUGGACUUGAUGAUCUUUGUUACCCUUCCAACUUUGGAUAUUUUAUGAUUCUGCUUUGUUUCACUUUAAAAGAUCACCUCAGUUGAAGGUCUUCAGCUGAUUCAAGUAAGAAAUUUUAAUGCGCUAUUUAAAGCGAAGAGAUGUGAGACGGUAUUAAAUGACUGAAUGUAGCAAGUUGCUGGAACUAAGGAUGCUUUGUGAUAAUUUCCUAGAGUGUCCCUUUGAGAAAGAAUUGUAUCUGUUUGUUUACCUAGCAUGCUCUUAGCUCAGACCUCUUAUGAUUUAGUUGAUAUUAAAACCAGCAAUGUGUGGAGGCCAGAUACAUGCUAGAAGGAUAAGAAUACUUGCAUUUUGCCAAGGGAAGUGGAAUUAUAUCUCAAUCCUCUGCGUAACAAGCUGUUUAUCAUGCUCAGAAAAUAGCAGUAGGUAACAAACUUGAAAUCUUUGCAGCUAGGAGACAAUUUGUAUCUCCUCAAAUAUUAUUUUUAGGAAGAAAUGAGUCUUACCAUGUCACAUUUUAUCACUAUUUGCUGUAGUCAUCUCAUAUCUUGUUGCAUGUAGUCUAUGGUAACUGAUGUGUAAUAUUUCGAUGGGCAAAAUGGAAUGAUACAGCUCCGAAUUCAUAAGUUUCUCUGUUUCCUUUGUCUCUGUCUAAGAUGGCUUGAUGUUUGUUACAGAAGUUCUAACCUUCUUCUAGGAAAGAGGCCCUGCCUGACAGUGAUCCAGUGGUUUUUUUUUUUUUUAAAGGUCUUAGACAGACAUAGAUCAGUUAUGGGGAGUAUGAGUUGGGGAGUAGGCCUGAGAAUUUCUGGUCAGCCAGGGAUGAGGUUUCUAGAAACUGCUCUGACUCAAAGUAAAAGGAAUUCAAUUUAAAAUACCAACAUUCCUUCCAGGCAAAUGCAUUCUGAAGUGGAAGCUUGUUGAGCAGUUAUUUGGGCUAAUGAAGGUAAUCUCAGAUUAGAUAUGUACUGUCCCAGUCUAAUAUCCAGAAUUAAGUGUGAAGCCCAGGAGAAAGGACUUGACAUCCAACUCAUGCCACCAAAUAGUAGUCUGCAAGAAUAGGCAAGGUUUAAGUAACAAUUUCUCAUAUGAAGUAUGGAAGACGGAGCAAAAUAUAUAAAUAUCAGUUAUAUGAAACAGAAUUCAAAGAUAAACAGUGAUAGGGUCAGAAUUAACUGGAGUCUUGAAAGAUUAGAAGCAAGGACAGGAAAAUAAUAAUGGGGUUCAAGAUGAAAAGAUAUAGUACAUUGCACCUGUAGCAUAUUCAUAAUCUACAAAUGAAAAGAAAAAACUCAAACCUUUUAAUAGAUCGUAGUACUACCAACAAUUGUAGCUGAAAGGUGACAGUAUUGAAAGAGACAGGAAAAUGGUGCCACUCAUGUCUUUAUUUUCAUGAGGAAACCUUUAGUAUUUCAUCAUACAAUUAUAAUGUGGUUAUAGAAAAGGAAUGUAUUUUUACAUGAUGCCUGAGAAAAGUACUAAAAACAUUAGAAUUGUUAUAUGGUUGUUUAGAGAUCAAUACUGUUCUAAAAAUAUUGACAUGCAAGUGUUCUUUGUUUCUCUCGAAUUCCAAGCAGUGAUGUUUGUCAAUGGACAAUGUUAAAGCUGCAUUUAAACUGAUCAUUGUAUGCAUUUCCUAUUUGUCAUUUUUGAGUGAGUGUAGUGCAAACUGCAGAAGUUGAUCAGUUUUUUUAUAAAAUCUUUAACACUUUGGACAAAAUUGUAAACAUAAGGACUUGUAGAACUAUCUUUUAUUUGAAGAGUUAUGAAAUGUAUGUCCUGCAUUUUGCAGUCAUAGAAGGAGUCUCUGACAGUCUGAUUAGACCAACUUCAACUUCAAAUCAUGGAAACAUCAAAAUAUAUCAAUCCUUUGGAAAGAGGAAAAAAAAAAAGGAUCAACUCUAUCCCACUACUUCAGAAAAUCUUCUGGGAUUAGUUUUGCAUAGGUUUUCUGGGAAUUUUUUUCUAUUACUUAAUCAUAUAUUGUGAAAAUUUAUUCAACUUGUAUCUAGUUGAAAUUUCCUUUGCUAGUGUGUUCAUCACUUCUUGUCCAAUUGCUCUGUUCAUCUGAUGAUGAACAUCUUAUGAUGAUGAACAUCUUAGAUGACUAAGAAUUCAUUAGGUAGCUGAAGGGUACAGCUGUUUCUCACUCCUUUUCACGAGUGGAAGAAACCUAUUUUUCUAGUCUGAAAGUACUUAUCCCUACUUGAUCCAUUUUUUUUUUUUCCUGAUUUGGCUACCAGGAUGCUGUGGUAGACUAUGCUAGAAGCCUAGCUGAUAAAUGAUACCCACUGCUAUUCACUGUUCCACAGACCCAGUCAUCUCAUCAUAGAAGACAUUCAGAUUGGUUAGAUGCAACUUAGCCUUUGUAAAUCCAUGCUGGCUGUUUCCUAUCAUCUGCUUGUCUUCCAUUUGCCUUUGAAUAACUUCCAUGAUGACUUGCUCUAUGAUUUUCCCAGAAGCUGAGGUGGCACUAAUUGGUCUGUAGGAGUACCCAUAUGCUCCAGUUUUAUUGGUUUGAAGACAGGUGUAACAUUUGACUUAAUCUCGUCAUCAUGGACCUCAUUGAACUGCCAUGACCUUUAAAAGAUGGUACAGAGAGAUCUUGUAAAUGUUUUGCCUGUUAGUCUCCUUGGAAACAGGAGUUCAGUCUUUUUCUUUUUCACUUAAGAUGUCCCUCUCUCAGUCUGUGUGUACCAUGAGCAGUUCUUAUCUCUUUGAAACUUGGAGACAUAAGAGCUGAUCUUUUCAGAAAAGACAUGCUAAGAGACUGUUGAUUGUUUCAGCCUUUUCUUUAUCCUUGGUGACCAUGUCACCUACCCAAUCCAAUAGCAUGUCUAAUUUUUCUGUGAUAGCCUUUUCUUUCCUGCUGUACCUGGGUGAUGAUUAUAGGCUCCUCUGGGGAGCCUACGUCUUUUGCAACCUUUGUCAUUUGUAGUUGUCUUCAUAUUCUUUUUUCUUGGUAUGCUAAAGCUCAGUCAGGAGUUCCUUGUUCAGCCAAACUAACCCCAUCCUGAGUCUGUUUAUUAUUUUGCACUCUGAAAUGUACUGUUUUCGUGUUUUGAAGAGGCUGUUCAAAAUCAACAAGGAGAGCAGUGUCUUGCUUGCAGAUUAAUGAUUAUUGAACAAACUUUAUUCAGUAGGAACCUUAAGUAGGACACAGGUUCUUAGACAAAUCAAAGUUUUAAUUAAAAGGAUAUUCUGGACAUCCAAAAUAACUUUCAAAUAUUACAAAUACAAUAAUUUUUUUUCCCUUGAGUUUUGAUGAAAAUUUGAGCUAUUCUUUUAAAAAUUGAUUUGGUAUAGAUUUAUGUGAAAUAUUGUAAAUGUAGUUGGUCUGGCUUAGUUCAGAGCCCGGGGACUGGCACCAGAAGUACGUGUAUAGAAAGGAGUUUUGCAAGACGAUUGUCUAAAAGUACUUUCCCAGAAUAUGUAUCUUAGCCUUGAAGAAUUUUUUUACUUAGUUUUGUUUCAGUGUAUUUAACAGCCCCUCAAGGGUUUGUCUUUUUUUUUUUAAUUUAUCCCCAUUUUCAAUAUCUAAAACUACUCUUUUGGGCUCCCCGUGAGGGGGAGCCUAAGUUCAAUGGAACUAUGCCUUCUAUGAGAAAACAUGGGUCAGGUUUUCUGUGUGCUGAGUCUUUCCUAAGGGAUCUUUAUGAUGUAUCUUCACAGACAUUUCACUGAGACAUCUUGCUUGCAGAAAAACUGGGAAAGCCAGCCUAGAGUACUUGUGUUUCCUCAAUGUGGUGUUGUUUUUAAACAAAAUUAGUGGAGUUCACAUUCCGACCACUCAUACAGAUUUUGUGCUAAACUAUUAUCUUUUUUCUUUGAUAAAGCUGCAAAAACCUGUUUGUGUGGUAUCCUUUAUUUAGACCCUAUUCAUUAACACCACUAGGUUUUGCCCUAAGCUUAGCUAGGUUCACUUGUUUGAAUGUUAGAAUAGGAAUGUCUUUGUCUCCUUGACUUGAAGUCAUAGUUUGUGAUUAGUAACAUGAAUUUGAGAGAUGCUGCUACCUAGAUUUGCGCGUGUCCCAAUGCUGUUUAGAUAAAAACUAAAUAUAAGUGAAAUAAACUCCUUUAUCUGUGAUAGCGAUCUUUUCUUUCUUGCAUUCAGGGCCUUUAUUAAAUGAACAAAGAGGAGUCUUAAAGUUUCUUCAAAUCAAGGAAGCAAGUUCACUGUUCAGACCCUCAAAAGGAUAUUGAUGGUCUAGGAAAGCUUUUUUUGUUUUUGUUAACAUUAGUUGGUACUUGGAAGCUGAUUCUCAUUCUCUUAAAUUUGUAUGUCUAUCUUAACAUACAGAGGAGGAAACAGUUAUUUAGUUACUUAUUUACUUUUCUCAAAAGUGUAUUGCUUUCAGAAAAGUGUACUGCAUGAAUUAUGUAAAUUGCAUGUCCAAAAAUAAUGAAGCGGUGAUAUUCUCAUGACAUGGCAACAGAUUCUCCUGUUUAUUUUUUUCUGCAAAGUUUAGUGGGCGUCAUAUUUAAGCAUUCUCAAUUCUUGAUGCUGUUCUAUAUAAAGCACGAAGUGACUAAAGUACAUCAUUAUUGUAGUAGACAUGGUGACGUAUCAGAAUUCUGUUUUGUUAGUUAUGCAUAGUUUUGUAAGCGUAUGGUUUUAAUGUUUGUUCUAGACAAAAUAUUUAAUCAUAAAUGCACAACUACAUAUUUUUAUAUUUGUUCAUUUUCUUUUCACAUUCUGGAGAUGAUAGUUGUCAACUAAAUAGUACCUGUGUUAAUUUUGACUGUUUGGCCAAACACCACUCACAAGGGAACAAACUAAAUGAAGUUCUUGAAUAUGCCUUGCUCAGGGGAGAAGUUUGCCCAAACCGUUACAUAUUAGUGAGUGCACUGUAAUUCUUUCUUUUAAGCAUCUAGCUACUUCUGAAGCUCUCGUUUUGGUUCUCAUUUCAAUAUUCUGUAAUUGAAUACAGAUAUAUGUCUGAAAUAGAGAACUGUGGGAAAAAUAGUACAUAGUACAUUUCAGCGCAACACUGUCAACGAGCAGAGGAAUUUUAAAGAUUUCUCUGAAUGAGGUGAUCUGACAAAUGCUUUGGACAAGCCUUCUAGUUUGUGGAAUGAGUACUUUUUUUUUUUUAAUGUAAACUAUUAUCUCGCUGUUUUUUAGCUGUCUCUGAAAGCAGUGUAGUUAAUAGUAAUGAAAAAUGAAGUACUUUGUUUUUAUAUGUGUUUAUAUUGGCUAAGAUGUUCUGGAUAACUGCUUAUGGAAGCUUCCAUAGGGGUGACUAGAACAGGCUGGAAAUAUCCUAUUUCCUAGGAUAUUCCAAUAUCCUGUGUUUUCUGUGCUGCCAAAGAACUAGCCUUAUUUUAUGACAUAGUUCUGUACAGUAUAAUGUAUUUAGUACUAACACAUUUUGUAAAUAUUUUUAGUGAUAGUUUGCCUUCAGAGGACUCCAACUAUGUCUACUACUAGGAUUGGACUUUGUCAGAAUUGACUCUAGCAGAGUAUUAUCUUCUACCAACUUUUAUAUCUUAGUACUGGUUGCUAUUUUUUUUUUACUAACAUAGUUCUUUUGGUCAGCUGAAGAUAGAAUUUAUUAAGGACAGUUUAUUGCACAUAAUCCAGUUCUAGAAAGUAAAAAAAAGGCCAUUGGUUUUGAUUCACAGUUUUUUCUAAGUCAUUCCUUUAAUCAACACACCUAAUUUUUUUGUAGAUGGCUUCUUUCUUCCUAUCAAGUUCUCAUUAGUGUUGUGUGACUUUUUAAGUCGAAAUAUCUUAUUUGUUGGGUUUUUUUUUAAGUGGUAUGCUUUGUACUCUAGUAACCUUAUUCUUUCCAUCCAGCUGUACCUUUGCUUGACAACUUCAGGUAUGAUGUUCUCUGAAUGAAGAAAAAUUGAAGGCUAGUUGGAUUUUGACAAAAAUGGAUCAACCAAUAUAGAAAUAAUUUACUUUCUUUUGACAUAAAUGUGUCCAAUACUGAGAAGUAUUUGACUGCUGCCAAAGCUACAGUAGUAUUAAAAAGUUAUAUUAUCUCACACUUUCAGAAAGUACAUUUAAACUUUUAUUCUGGUCUGUCUACACAGUGCUUUUUUUUUUUCCCUAGAUCUUAUAUUAAUGAACUAGUUGUCCUUAUUUUUACAGCUGGAUGUAAUUUUUCACUGGGUGAUAUUUUUCUUUUAAAUCUGAAAAUAUGCAUUACUACUUCUAUUGUUAUGGCUUUUUAAAUCCUUUUCUAUUUGUUUGCUUGGAAUUUUUUUAUAAGCAGUAAAAAAUAGUUAAAUAGUGUUUUUCACAUCAAAGCUUGAUUUGCUUUCAUAAAAACAAUUCCCAUUUUGUUCUGUUUUUGGAAUCUAAGACUGAAAAAUGUGAAGUCUUGCUAGGUCUUCCAGAGUUAAUUCAUAAACACAUAAUAUUAUGGCAUGUCUAGUAUUUUUUUUGUACUUCCACUUAAGCCUUUUGAGUAAGAGCACUGCUGUGCAUUCUGUAUGGAAACAUUUAGCUACCACACUACUGAAAAUCUUUCAACUGCAUAUUUCUCUGCAUUUUUUUUAUCAUUUUUAGCUUAGUUUCAUAUGUAAUUAUAGAGAAUGCUGUUUAGACUCAUUGCCUAAAAGGCCAAAUUAUAAUUUAUUCAUCUGAAUUAAUGUAAAUGGGUAAACUUGUAAAUAAGUGGAUGCUCACACAAUCUUUAAACAACUUUAGAAGUACACAGAUAUAGGAAAACCACCUACAUUAAGAUUUUUGCUGCAAAACCAAAGACUCGUGGUUGCUUUAAGUAGAUCUAACUUUGGCCAGGGUAGAAAAAUGUAGUUCUGACAUUACUAUCACUUUUCUUCUGUUGCUGAUGUUCAUGAAGUUGCACAAUAAAUUAGAUCAAAGAGCAGAAAAAAUACAGAAAGAAUUUAAUCAGCUCUGAAUCUGUUCUUCUACCUGACUUACAGACUGCAUAAGGCACAAGGGUGGAGGAAAAAGGAAGUCAGAGGGACUGAUUUCUGCGAGCACAAGCAUUCUCCCUUCCCCAACACAAGAAAUCAAGGAGAGGAGGCAGGAAACUGGUAUGGCUGAGAAAGGACGCACAAGUCAAACAAAGCGGAAAGAAGGAAAUGUACAGGCAGGGGAAGCAGGAUCAUGUGGCCUGGGAAGAGUACAGGAGUGCUGUUGUGGUAUAGGACAUGCUGAGAUGUGAUGAGGAACCCUAAUGCACAGAUGGAGCUGAACUUGGCAAGGGAUGUGAAAAAUAACAAGGGAUUUUAUAGGUACAUUGAUCAGAAUAGAGGAGCAAAGGAGAGUGAAUGUACCCACUCUGGUAAAUGAGAAAAGAGAACUGUCUUCAACAGACAUGGAGGAGGCUAAGGUACUCAAUGAGUUAUUUUCCUCAGUCCUUACUGGCAGUCAGGCUUCCCACAUCUCUCAUGUCUGUGAACCUUUAGUUAGGGGUUGUGGAAUCAAAAUCUCUCUCACUAUAAGCAAAGAGCAUGCCCAAGACCACCUCAUGAAGCUGAAUGUGUAAAAGUGUAUGGAGCUGGAUGACUUGCAUCCCAGGGUCCAGUGUGAACUGUCUGUGGUUGCCAAGCCACUCUACAAUUGCACUUGAAAAAUCAUGGCCAUCAGGUAAAGUCCCUUGUGACUGAAAAGAGAGGAGCAUCACUCUUCCUUUCUCUCUUUCUUAAAAAAAAAAAAAAAAACCAACAACAACAACAAAAAAAAAAACUCAGGGAACUACAGGCCAGUGAACCUCACGUCUUUGCUUGGAAAGGUCAUAGAGCAGAUCCCCCCGUGAAGAGAUAUUAAUGCACAUGGAAGGCAAGGUGAUCUGAGACAGCCAGCAUGGCUUCACCGGGGGCAGAUUGUACCUGAUGAGUCCAGUGGCUUUCUGUGGUGAAAUGACAGUAUCAGUGAACAAAGGAAGUGCAACAGGUAUCAUCUAUCUGGACUUGUGUAAGGCCUUUGGCAUCUUUAUCUCUGAAUAUGAAUUUGAAGGCUGGACUAUUUGGUAGUUAAGGAAUUGGUUGGAUGGUCUCAGCCAGAGGGUUGUGGUGAAUGAGUCUAUGUCCAGCUGGAGGUUGGUCACAAUUGGUGUACCAGCAAAAGUAUGUGUCUCAGGACUGGUGUUCUUCAACAUCAGUCUUUACCAGUGAUGUAGACAAGUAGGUUCAAAUGUACUUCAGCAAAGUUUGCUGAUGAUACCAAGCUGAAUGGUGCAGUUGAUAUGACAGAAAGAAGGGUCAUUAUCCAGAGGUAUGUGGACCGGCUUAAAAAGUGAGCCCAUGUGAACCUACUGAGGUUCAGCAAGGCCAAGUUCAAGGAGUUGCACUUGGAUUGGGGCAAUCCUGCAUGUGUGUACAGACUGGGAGAACAACUAAUUGAAAGCAGUCCUGCGAAGAAGGACUUGGGGAUGUAGGUGGACAAAAAGCUUGAUGUAAGCCAGUAGUAUGCACUUGCAGACUAGAAGGCUAAUUGUAUGCUGGGCUGCCUCAAAAGAGGGGUAGCCAACAGCAUGUGAUUAUCACACAUGAAGGCCACAUCUUGUAUCCCCAGCACAAGAAGGAUGUGAAGCUGUUGUAACAGGUCCAGAGGGCCAUGGGGAGUAUUAGAGUGCUGGAGCACCUCUCCUGUGAAAAGGUUGUAGGAACUGGCUUUAUUUAGCUUGCAGAAGGCUCUGGGGAGACCUCUGUGGCCUUCCUGUGCCUGAAGAGAGCUUACAAGCAACAGGAAGACCUACUUCAUACAUAGCCUGGAAGCACUUGGACUAGGAGGAAUGGCUUUAAACUGAAAGAAGGGAGAUUUAGGUUAAUGUUUAGAAUAAAUUCUUAGAGAGUGGUGAGGCACUGGAACAGUUUGGAUGGGGCCCAGAGAAGUUGCAGAUGCCCUGUCCUGGGGGGUCUUCAAGGCCAGGAUGGAUGAGGCUGUGGGUGGCAGCCCUGUCCACAGCAGAGAGGUUGGAACUGGAUAAUCUUUGUGCUUGCUUCUAAUAUAAGCCAUUCUAUGGUUUGUUAGCACUCUGAACUCUGAUAGGUUUAAAAUUAAUUUCCUCUUGAAUUUCUUAUUUGUUCUGGAAUGAUGCUUCAGUAGGGAGUGUGACUUCAUUUCCUUUCCUUCAUUUUUUUUCCCUUAAAAAAUAAAUUUUUACUUUUAUUUUAGCAGCAGAGGGUCUAUCAUAAAAUAAUUUAAAAUAAUAUGGCUAAUGAUGGUGCAGCCUCCAGUGGCAGAUGAAACUGCAAUGCAUUUGGAGAAUGUUUAAUUCUCGGAUCAGGGAAAGAUUAUAAGGUGUUAUUUAGCAACAAAAAUUUUGUGUUAACAUGUACCAAAAAUUAUAAUAUUAAAAGGCCAAUAUUUCUUUCUGUCUGAGACUCCUUCUCACCUGCUGAAAGACAGCUAGCAGCCUCUGCAGUCAUAAAAGACCAUUGCUGAUAGUAGUGAAACACUUGCAGUAUCUGCGAGAAGAGAGCAGAAACCUGUUGAUAUAUACAACUAAACCUGCCAUACUUAGUAUGAAGAUAACAUUUUUCACUCACCUCUUCUCCACCUGCAACUUUUUUUUCGUUAAUAAUAAUUUAAAUGUUUCCCCUUAUUACAACUGUGGAAUGCCUUUGAGGAAACUUUCAGCCCUGUACUGAAGUAGGAUUGUAUCCUGAAUUUGUUGGCAGGCCAGGAAAGUAUGGAUAAAAAAAAUAUCCAAAGGCAUGUGAAACUGAAGUAUCAGUAUGCAAGUUAAAUUUCAUGUCCUGUGUGUCUUUUAUCACCUUGUUCUUGUUGGGAAGACUCACUGACUUUUCCAGAAUGGUGAAAUAAGUAGAUUUUGGCAGGUAUUCCUUUAAGAAUUACUAUGAAGCUGACCACUGGUCUCCUAGCCGCCUUUGUGUUCAUUGUUGGUCAAAAAGGUCGAGCUAGACAUAUGGCUAGUCUUACUUAAUGAACUCGAAUAACUGGCAUUAAUUAGUACCUUUCAGUACAGUUGAUCAAAUAUGCACAUGCACACACCCUGAGUUAUUUCCAGUUCUAAUUAAAAAAUUUUGAGUAAGAGGUCUUGAAAUUCUGUUAUUAUUUGAAGAGCAUAUGCUGUAAAUGAUGUUAUGUGUUUGGUAAAGGAAGGAAAAUGCAGAAACAUAGAGGGACAUUCAUGAGAGGAAUCUAAGUAGAGAGUUCAUUAAGACACCAACCCAAAUUUAUUUCAGAUUUAGUCUUUGGUGUAUGUUUCCUGAGGUCCAUAAUCAGAAAGUUACAGUCAAUGAGAAGUAUAGAAAAGUACACACAAUACUACAAUAUAUUUAUGGGAUGAAUAUGUAGGUAAACGAAAACUGCUUUCAUAAAAAAAGCCAUGUAUUUAUGGAUCUUGCUGCUGCUUGUGUAAGAAGCCUGACAGCCUAAUGUUGCUGGUGUUGGUCAGGCCAUCUAGAAUCGUAGUGACCUGGUAGAAGAGAAAAUGGAGGUUUUUCUGCUGGGUAAGACACUGAUCCAAACAGUUCCCCUGUUCUUGUUUCCCUACUGGUGUCAUCCUCUCUCCCUUUUGUCAUUUUAAAAAAUUGAUAUAUCAGGAUGUUUUUCUAUAUUUUGUGUUAGAGUGAAUAGUAAUGUUUGAUAAGAAAUAUUCUUUUGCAGAAUUCACCUUAAUAUUUUAUGCCAUUUUCUGUGACUGGCAAUGGCAACACAGAGUGGUAAAGCAUAGGGCUUCCAUCAGACACACAGUGCCUUGAAUAGGUUGCCUGUGUUCCUGUGCUAUGAAAUAUGUAUUCACAUAAUUUUCUUAUCCUAGAAGAAAAUGAGAGAGAGUAGAGGAUUAGAAGCCUUGCCCUGAAAACAACUCAUACAUGUAGGAAACAAUAUUACUUCUACUUGCAUUUUGAUAUAAAUGAUUUUUUUGUUGCUGUUGUUGUUUUAUUUUAUUUUGGUGAACUGAGGUACUCUUGAUCCUGAGAAGAGUAAAGAAUGGAUUUCACAAGUCAUAAUUUGUGUACACAACCUAUCUUCUGUGUAAAUGUCUUACUUAAUCUUUUAUCUAAUUCUUCUGUUUAGAAAUCUAUGUAAAGGUAAGGAUUUGAGCCUUAAUGAUGCUAUGCUAGUAUGUCAUUCUUGUUUGUUUGUUUUUGUUUUCUUUUUCUAAUGACAUGGAUAGCAGUUUCCUUUGUCUUUCUGAUUGUUUCCACAUUAAAAGGUUAAAUAUUCAAAAGGAAAUGUAAUAAAAAAUCUGGCCUUAACUUCUUUGGGUGUUUUUUUUCUUUUUCUUUUUCUUUUUCUUUUUGCCAGGAAUUAAUUUUUAUCAAGAAAUAAUCCUUGUGUUUUUCUUCAUAUAUGUUAGAGCUUACUUCUAAUACUUCUAAUCUUGGAAGCCAAAGCCUCUAAAAUUGCUUUAGAUUUAUUUUUUUAAUUUUCUUUUGCAGAUUGGCAUGGCUUUCUAACAUCAGACUCAGUGUUACUUAAACUGUACUGUUAACAUUAAGCAUCUGAGUAAGAUGUUCAGAGUAACUUUUAAGUUAAUAUCAUUUUUCUUCUCUAAAUUGAUUUUUUUAGUUUAUAUUUGCAAACUUUCACUAAAUGUGAAAGCAUGAACACAGAUAUACUUUAUUCAUUUGGGAGUGAACUUCACUUGAAAUCACAAAAUUGUAAUGUAUACAAAUUAAGAAGAGAUCUCUGAAUGAAAUCCAAGGUUGAGAUCUUUAAAACCAUAAUAAUAGACUUGGCCACAGGCUUCCUGAUGUCUUAAAGUUAGCCAACUGUUGUUACUCCUUUGUGUUUCCUUCCCUGUUCUGUCAGUCAGCUGAAACAGUAACACCUUCCAGCUUGUCAUCUAGGACUUGUGCUAGCCUAUAUGUCCAUGCUGAAGAUUUUUCUCUUGCUCUUCUCUUCCUUUAACUUCCUUUAAUUUUUCUCUCCUAUUGAAUGAAUAAAUAUCCUGAAUAUUGAGUCUAGAGUUACAGUUUAUAUUUACAUAAUUCUUAUACAGAUUCUGAAUAGAGACUACAGCAACACUUGUUCUCAAUGUUUUUAGUCCACGUGUCAGGUCUGAGAGUGUAUGUAUUGGUUGAGUAGAAUCCUUGGGUAAGAUUGUUCAUCAGAUUUUGAUGGAAAAGUAACCGCUGUUAACUUGCAGUGAAUGUGCUGCUACAUUGUUUUCGCAUCUCUUCCCUUAAUGUAUCUAUUCACAACUUUGAGUUUCACUGAGAAUACUACUUUAUCUGUUCAGCCCUCAGUAAUUUUUAGAGGCAAAGCUGUGGUGAUGUGAAGUAUUUGUCAACAGAAUAAGGAAAGAACAAGGAAACCUAUUUAAAAAUACAGCAGACAAACAAGACUAUUUAGUUGUUUUUUUUUUUUUAAUUCCAGUUUGGGCUUUCUUUUCUUAGCCACUCUUCAAGUUUGUAAGACUUCAAGUCUUACUAAAUAAACUAAAUAAGAGAUUAUAAUGAUCAUUUAAUCGAUAUUAUGAUUACUAUGCUUUGCUUCAAUUUGAGGAAUAGACAACUGACUUUUCUUUAGUAAAACCCAGUGUUAGACAUCUAUUUCCUUCUUUUUAGGAAUGAAUACUCUGCUAGAGUCCUCCACUAGGAAAGGAGGGAAGUAGAGGAAAAAGUUCCAUACACUUGAAAAAUCCUCUGCUGUUUUUUGGAGAGUCUUAAUACUGGCACAAUUAGGCAGAAAACAUUAUUUUGUUUGGGGUUUUUUUAAUCUCAGUUUGAGUCAAUAGGUAGUUUCAGAGCUGACUGGAUUAAUCUAACAGCCUGAUGAAUCCACCUAUGAAAUUGAGGUUAUAUGAAAUACAUGAGUUCUAAUGAUGGGAAAAAUCUAUCAUAUCUUACUGGCUUUGGCUAAAAGUAAGUAAUAUAAAGCUGUUAGGCAUUUCUGAUGGUUAGUUAGCAAUCUGUUACCUGAAUUGUAGCAAUAGCCUCUAUCUUCUCUAAAUCUUCUUGUCAGCCCCUUUGACUCUCUUCCUGUAGCUCACUUCCCAUAGAUAGAUUUCUAAAUUUACACAGGGGCUGCUCUCUGUUCCUCUAAUCAUUUUGCUUUGAAACUGUGUCAAUAAAUUGUUAUACUUGUUUUUUUGUAUUGUGGUUAAAAUGAACAUUAAGCUGUGAAUGUGCUAUCCUUGGGCAUUGUCCGACAGCUUUCUCUCAAAAAGGUCUAUCUAUUACAGAGUGUAUUUUUUUUCUCACCUUAUCACUCUUGCUUUUGUUCUUCUGUUAUUUAUCAUAGUAUCAUAGAACCGUAGAAUCAUUAAGGUUGGAAAAGACCUCUAAGAUCAUCUAGUCCUACUGUCUUGAACACAUAGGGAUACUGCUGGCUCCUGCUCAUCUGAGUGUUGACCAACUCCCCAGGUCUGUACACAGUCUUCCAGCUACUUUGCCCCAAGCCUGUAGUUUUGCCUGGGGUUGUUGUGGCUAAAGUUCAGGACCUGGCAAUUGGUCCUGUUGAACUUGAUCCCACUGGCCUCAGCCCAGUGAUCCAGCCUGUCCAGAUCCCUCUGUAGGACCUUCCUAUCCCCAGGCAGAUCAACAAUUCCUGCCAGCUUGGGGUCAUCUGCAAACUUACUGAGGUUGCACUCAAUCCCCUCAUCCAGGUCCUCAAAAAAGGUAUUGAACAGGAUAUACCCCAGUACCAACUGCUGGGGAAUACUGUUUUUCACUGGACUCCAGCUGGAUUUAACUCCAUUCACCACCACUCUCUGGGCCCGGCCCUCCAGCCAGUUCCUUACCCAGCCAAGAGUGUAUCUGUCCAAGCCACGGACUGCCAGCUUCUGCAGGAGAAUACUGUGGGAGACAGUGUCAAAGGCUUUGCUGAAGUCUAGGUAGACCACAUCAACAGUCUUUCCCUCAUCCACCAGGAGGGUCACUUGAUCAUAGAAGGAGAUGAGGUUGGACCUGCCCUCGAUGAGCCUAUGCUGGCUGGACUGAUCCCCUAGUUGGUCCUGCACACGUCAUUCCAUAACCUUACCUGGCAAUGAGGUGAGGCUGGCAGACCUGUAGUUCCCUGGAUCCUCUUUAUGACCCUUCUUGUAGAUGGGAGUCAUGUUGGCAAGCCUCCAAUCCUAUGGAACUUCUCUACAGGAACACUGAUAGAUAGUAGAAAGUGGCAUGGCAAUCGAGUCUGACAACUCCCUCAGCAUCGUUUUGUGAAACCCAUUGGCCUCAUGGCAGUCCAGGUGGAGUAGGAGAUGUUUCCACCUGAGUCAUGGGGAGUUUAUUCUGCUCCCCUUUCCAGACUUCCAGGUCAGAGGGUAGAGUACCUCAAGGAUAACUGGUCUGAGUAUUAAAGACAGGUGUAAAAAUGGCAUUAAAAAUCUCAGCCUUUUCCCUAUCCUUUUUUAGUUCAAACAAAUGCUAUGUCCACGGGCAUGCAGCAUGUAGCUUUCAGACUCACUUUUUGUCUUUUGUCUAAAUUAAUAUCCAUUCUAUUUAGCUUCUGAAUGUUUGCCAUUCUACAAAAGGCAGUUUUAUCAAGCUAGUGAUAAUUAGAUACCUGGCUAAUGUGCUUUGUAUAUUUAUACUUUAUUAGAAUUUAAUCCCAAAGUGACAAUAUUGUCUCUGCUGACAAGCAGGAUGAAAUUCCCAUACAUAUUCUACUUCAUUAACUUUCCUAAUAAUUAUAAGCCAACUUCCCUGAAGGCUUAUGGGUAAAAUUCCCAUAAAGCUGUAUCCAGCUUAUACUAGAUGGAAAUUUUCCAGUUCGUCAACCACAAGGACUUUACAUUACAGAAUAAUGAGAAUGAAUCUGCUACUAGUUCCUAGAGACACUAGCACCACUGGUGAGUAAAUGCUACCAAAAAGGCUAUCCAUUGCAUGCUCUGCUUUGCUUUGAUAGAUAAGAAUAAAAUAACUGUCAAUAUGUGUAAAGUUAGGUCAGAGACGGAUGAUCUUGGAAAUAACUUUAGAAGCAAAGGUAAGAAUUUGGAUUAUUUUCAGAUCAGAGAAAAUACACAAUUCAGAAAAAAAGUUUGGUAAUAUUGAUGUGAUUUUACGGUUGAUUAGCAUGUGAAUACAGCGUGAUCAGGGGAUGAUUUUAUUCACAUCUUUAGUUCUAAGUUUAUAUCUACAUUCCUAUCCGCCUAGUUAUCUGUGUGGUAAUAAAUGGUGUGCUUGUAUUGAAUAUUGUCUCAAUUUCCAAAGAGAGUUCUAUAUAACUUAUAGUAAUGAUAAUAAUGAAAAUAAAUUCAGGUGUAUGGAAAGUAUGUUUUUAAUGGGCUUCAGAGAGCAUGACGUGUUAAGCAUAUAAGUUAUCCAAAUUAUUUUAAGUUUCUUGUGAAGUUUACACUUCUUAAAUACCCAUGUGUUAUGUUCUGUGGGAAUAGCCAUAGCUCCUAUAGCCAUGUAGAUAUUUUUGCUGCACUUGUACCUUUCAAAUCUUAAUGUAUUUCUAGUCACACACCGUUGUUGGUUUCACCUUCAAAUAGAUCUUUGCUUAAAAGUUAGUAUUAUAUUAAAUUUGCUGCACACAUCUUUUCAGGUAGAACAAAAGCAAUAAGCAGUUAUAUACAUCUCAAUCCCUUAUUUUUGAAAGCUUUCAUAUCAUUCAUUAUUUCAACCUCUAAAUCCCCCUCAAUAUUUAUGUAAAUACAGCCUCAUGAUGAGGUGCCUGGCAUCUCUAUGGUUAAUGUAAGGUAUCCCAAAUUCUAUGAUAAAAAAUAAUGAUACUGAAUUAUUAUUUUAGGGACAGGAUAGCACUGGAAAGAAAUAUUCAGUUUACCAUUAUCUACAAUUUCAGAAGAUACUGUGAUAUGCAUUUUAUAUUUUGCACUGCUUAUGCUCAAGAUUCUUUUGUAAAAAGAUUUGUCAGAGAAUUUCCUCAUAUAGAAAGUGUGUUGUGUGAAUGUAUUUUUACCAGGAGGGUUAUAAAAGUCCUAUUAGAUGCUGUAAUGUAGCAUUUUUUUAUGAUUUGUGUGGAAUAUGACAAGAACUUGUGUAGAAAAUUCAGUGGUGUUUGUAACAAAAUGCCUCAUUUUCACAACUCAGAGCAUGUUACUAUUAAAUAAAGUAUCUCAACACUAAAUAAAGCAUAUUAUUAGCGUAGGUGGUGACUGUGUGUAAGGGCUUAUUUUCCCUCCUUUCUUACUUCAGUUAAACACUGUGGUGGAGAUAAACAAGCUGAAUUAUCUCAUUACAAUAUGACUGCUGUUUUGAAAAAUGUAAUCCUUCUAAAUUUUGUGUCACUAAUAUUAACAUUGUGCAGAUGCUUGUAUGCACAGUCAGAACUUUAUCCAUAAAGUAAUACUUAGGUGAAAAUCUGUCCACGUCAGAUUUUCCUCUCAUAGAGUAUCAAGUUUUAAGAAACUUUAACAGCUGUUUUCUUUUAAUGUUUUUAAGCUUUUAGGGUUUGUAACUUGUUAGAAAGGAUAGUAAAUGCCACCUCUCACACUCUCCUGAAUUUUCACGUAGGCCUCCUUAGGCAAAAUGUAUGUUUUCAAGUUGGCCAAUUAGGCAUUAGAGCUUUCCUGAUUUGAGUUGUAUAGUACAUAAAAUAGAGAAUUUAUUGCUUGGUUUUGAUUUCUUUCGGUAUUAUUUUGUGGUGUGUUUUUUCCUAAUAUAGAUCUACCCUUCUUGAUUAGAAUGAGCCAGUACCAGGUCGUAGACCAUGAACUUUAUCAGGACAUUGUUCUUCCCAUCAGGGUAUUGGGCAAAACAACUUUCUUCUGUCUGAUUCAAACAUCAGAUAUGUUUGAGCAAUUUUCUUCAAAUGUUUCAUUUCUGUCUGUAAGAAAGCUAAUUGCCAAGUCCAUGUAAAAUAAUUUCUUCUUAUUCGCAGUAAACCAUUUCUUGCAAGUAGGAAUGCUCUUCUGUUUUACUUCAUGGAUUUACUAUUUUGUUAAAUAUUGCAAUUUUUUUUUUGUAUACUAGGAUAGGAAAAGAGAUAGAAAAUAUGAGAAAUUUGGCUUCUAAUUAAUACUCUGAAUAGACUCAGAUGGUUGUUUAUCAUCACUUACUUUCUUGUCUUGCUAUGCAGUUCAUGUCUAUGGUCAAGUUGUGCUGCUAGUACGUUUUCUAGGCAACUAUGAGAACUGGAAAGUCAUGAGCAAUUAAUGACUUUUAGAAGGUAGAAGAACUGCGGAUAUUGCUGGAAAUUCUUCCAACAGAAGCUCUUACUUGGAUAUUUAGAAUGACAUGUAAUAUAUCAUUAUAGAAAAAGAAAAAAAUUCUGGCCCAGCUGUCUGAGCAAGUAAUGAGAAGUUAUGAAGAGAGACAUCCUGAUGAGACAGAAGUCAACCACUCACCUAUGAUCUGAAAAUCUCUAACUUUCUACACAAAAAAUUCUAUGAAGCUCCAAGUAAUAACUACUCUUAAUUUCAUUUCUUGUGUUCCUAAGGUUGGACUAAGUUUUAUAUGCUUUCAUCAGAUGAAAGUGUCAAAGUAAAUUGUCAGUUAACAUCAAAUGUUUUAUGCAGAAGACUAUUGUUGUGAUAUGCAAAUAUUCUGUCUUAAAUUACAAGAGAGCCAAAUAAAGUAUCCCGCUCUAUAGGAACAUUGUGUUCUUGACAGAAGGCAAUGCGUUGGCAAUGUAGUAGAGCUGCCAGUGAUUUGAUUUUGGAAAAGACUGCACGACUCGUUGGUGUGUUGUCAUCAUGUGUGUUUGAACUCUGACCAUGGUCUUCUGUUGUCUUUUAAGACAGGAAAAUGUCUGCUCUGCACUAUUCAAUAAGACUAUCUUCCAACAGUGUAGCAAAAGCACACAAUGUGUAAAAUUGUAAAACAUUAAGUAAAAACAAAAUAUUUUAAAAUUAGUUCUUUGCUAUAUAUUUUCUCUUAAAUUGAGUAUCUUUAACUUGUUAAAAAGGCUUACUCCCAUCCUUAUCUAUUCAAUGAUAUCAUUGUUAUCAUUGUUCUAUUUUUUUAUUUCCUGACUUUCUCCAAAUUAGAAUGAAUAAAGGACAAAAAUGAAAAACAGAGGAGAAUUUAAAAGGAGUCAGCUAUAAGAAAGAAAAAAUUUCUUCCCUCGGACAUUUACUUUACUGUUUUCUAAGUAGCAGUGUACAAAGAUUAAUACUGUCUAUGUUUAGUUCAGAAACACUGAACAUUUUGAGAUACAAUUUGUGCUGUGUCCCAGGGGAACUCUGAACUUUUUUCCUGGUGAACAUCCAAGACCUCUAUUUUUACUACUACUUGUGGUGUGGAACCAUUUGAGAGUUUCAAGCUUGGCAAAGCAUCAUGUGCAUACGUUCAGUUGCCAGAAAUAGUGUCAUGCUUCAACAAGGAGCCCUUGUUGAGCAAAAAAUGAGAAGACAGAGUAAAUUGUAAGAUGAGCUAGCAAAAUAGGAUGUCGUGUCUUACAGGGUAUUUAAGAUGUACUCUAAAAGUAGAGAGAGAACUAAAAGUUCCUGCUGGUGUAAUAUAGGAGGAGCAGGCUUGUUUUUAUCAAUGUAGUCCAUGGUAAGGCCUAUGAAUAUCAAUGGAAAAGGAUUUUGCAUUUCAUCAGUAACAUUUACCUUGCUGCAUGUCUCAUAAGGAGACUCAAGACUUGUGAGGAAAAAAUUAUAUCCAGAACUGAGGUAAAAACACUUCUUGUCAGUACUGAAACUAAAAUAAAUUUUGUUUCUAGUCAAAUGGUUUUCCAGUUAUUUCCAAGAAUUUGACUUUAAUUUUUUCCUGUUUUUAAACCGUUUUAAAAAUUGGUAUGCCUGAAAAUGUUACUGUUUAAUUUUUCAAGUACGUAAGAAUUAGUUUUCUUUCUUUCUAUUCUGCAAUGCUUUCAUUGUCUUGUAAAGAUUAAAGUAGCUUUAUUGUGGAGGACUGACACUGAAAAAAAGUACUGCUAAUUGCUGCCUAAAUUGUCUUUGGUGGUUAAUCUGAUGUCUGUCUGUGGGUUUUCUCUUUAGUCUUCAGAUACUUUGGGAAAUCAACUGUUCCAAGUGCAGCACCCAAAGUUUCAUCAAAACAUACGGCAAUUUCACAUUUUCUGAUGUGUCGUGCUUUGAGAAAGCAAGUUAAGUUUCAGAAAAUCAAAUCUAUUUAAGACAUUUCAAAUUUGAAUAGUGACAACUGAGAUUGAAAAUCCAUGAUUGGACACUUGGGCAUCAGUAUACUUGACAAAUGUAAAAAAACAUUAAUUUUGGCUUGCCCUCAUGGUAAUGCAGAACAGUUAAAUAACUGCAUAAACAUCACCCGCUGAUGUAAGGGCUGCUUCUCAUUUGGCUGAGUUUCUGACUGCAUGUAGAAUCAAGCAAGGGGAAAACUGAACUCUUUCUGCAGUUUGACCAUAUGCAUUUUAUCAUGGGCAGUGGUUUUUUUUUUUGUUGUUGUUGUGAUUAAAGGCAUAAGGAAUAGAAGAAUUUCUCCAGUUUUAGUCAGGCUGCCAGUUUCUUUGUUAGCAAACUUUUAUUACUUUUUGAGGAGAAUAGUUCUGGAGAUAACAAGAGUUUUUACUAUGUACCUUUCUUAGACAAUGGUGACUCAUCAUGAAUAAAACUUAUUUCACCUCUCCAUGAUAUCCUUCUAGUACUAAAUCUUUUUAUUACUUUCAAAUGAAAACAUUUUGUAUGUGUUUUCCAAAUUCAGUGUAAGAGUGCCUCACUUAGUCAGAAUUUCUACUGAUGAAUGUCUAAGAUGAACUAAUGAGGGAAGAAAAUACCCAGAAACAUGGUAGUCCUAUUUCUGAGAUUUUGACAAACCCACGCACUGUUAAAUGCGUGGUAUUUUUGUUGGUUUAUUUUUCCCACUGUAUCUUCUAUAUGUCUGUUUGCUGGUUUACUAAAUCAGAAACUUGGAAUCUCCUGUAAAAAGUAAACUUUCACUUGGAUGUUGGCUGUGAUAGCGAGUUCAAAAUCAGAAAUUAGUAGUAAUAGGAUAAAACUGUCAGUAAUAUUUCCUGUUGCUGCUAUAGAAAAUGUACUAAUUCCAAACUGUUUUGUUUGGUUUUGUUUGCAUUCUCUUUUUCCAUGCAUUUUUCUUCACAUAAAAUAUUCUCCCUCUAAAUUUUGAGAGAAAAUUGCUGAAUGCAAAGACAUCAAAAGCUUAACAUUCAGUGGUACCCCACUUAGCCUCAAGUCUAGCUUGACAUUUCCUAGUACUUUUCUAGCUCAGCCUGUUUGGAUCUAUAUCAAAAAGAUCUGUUCUUCCACUAUCUACAUCUGAAUUAUCAUCUCACAUUUGGUCUUGUAUUCCAGACUAGGGGAUCCCUUAUAGCAUAAUAGAAAGUAUCCUAUCUUACUAAAUAGGAAUAACCACAUGCAUCAGUACAGGUUAAGGGCUGACCUGCUGGAGACGAGCUCUGUGGCGAAGGACCUGUGAGUCCUGGUGGACAACAGGUUGGCCGUGAGCCAGCAGUGUGCCUUUGUGGCCAAUAAGGCCAGUGACAUCCUGGGGUACCUUAAAAUAAGUGUGGCUAGCAGAUGGAGGGAGGUGAUUCCUCCCCACUCUACUCUUCCCUGGUAAGGCCACAUUUAGACUACUGUGUACAGUUCUGGGAAUUUCUGUGUUCACUAUUACUGCAACUGUAUCUAUAUAUUUGUCAACUUCUGUAACCUUAUGAAAAAAACCAUGAAUGUAAGCAAGUAUUUGUUUAAAGUGAUUCCAAGAUGUUACUGGUAGUACUGGAUGUACUGGAUAAAAACAAUAUUUACACAGAUCAAACACUCAGAACUUGAGGAAGCCUACAUGGGGCACUGAUGAUUUUCUCUAACCAUCCUAAUUUUCCAAUCCUUUCUCUGCAUCAAAGCUAUUGUGUUGAGGAUUUGCUGAGUGGAGGGGAUAGUGAGAGAGGCCGUUUGAUGUUCUCAAUAGAAUGAUAAUCUGACUUCAGCUAAAAAUAAUUGUUAGAAUUGAGAUAUAGUUUUUUAGAUGUUUGAGUGACCUGGCUGUUGUCCAACUGUUGUUUAAUGUGUUACAGCUCUAAGGAGAGAUCAAUUUGGCCUGGCUAAGACCUUAAUGACCAAAACCCUUCAGCCAAUGCUCUGAUAUAAUCAUUAGAAAUGAGAACUUUCUAGUUGUUUGAAAUGUACCUUGUAAACUAUGACUGUAUCAUUUUCUGAAUAGACAGGGAAUCAUUUUUAGUAGUCACUACGGUGUUGUGUUGGUAAGUGAUCUGAUCAAUAUAUUUUGUGUAGCAAGCUUACAAAUUAAUUGUAAGAAUCUACAGCACUCAAAGGCUCGGUUAUGUAGUUUUCUUCGAGACUAGAUACUAAAGUCCUGUGUUACGAUUGUAGUGGCACUGAGUUGAAUUUGGCGGUGCAGCUUCUGAACUGAAGUGCUGAAAUACUAUAUCUCUUGGCCUGAGUAUGAGAAACUUCAUCAGAAAAACAGUCUACUUACGUAAAACAACAAUGUGUGUAUAUUGCAUGCAUACACACCCUUUAUUAAGCCCUUCUUUGGGAAAACAAAUGUAGCACAUUGUCAGAUGCAGUUACAAAGUGGUGUUGGUCAUUCUACAUCCUGAUGAGGAUGGUGAAAAACUGAUGAUGCGGACAACAGUGACUGUCCUUCACAUUUCCAUCAUUCUGCAUCAAUGGAUUGCUGACUGUGCAGCUGAGUAAUGAAAGCUGACUGUACGCAGAGCACUGCCCACUCAUAGUGACAAUUUCUAGCAUCCCACAGUAUGAGAUGUCUUAGUAGUUUUCAAGGCCAAUGUUGGACUUGUUCAUCAGUCCACUGGGCUAAACUUUCCAUGUUGCAUGUUCAGGUAGAUGGGGAUCUCUAUAUCCCCUUUUCUCUGAAGCAGCUACCCAAGGGUUUAUUGUAGCCUGGACACUAGUAGGAAGAGAAAUGGGGAAUGGAUACAAAAGAAGGUUAUAUGCAUAAAAUCUUUGGCUUCUAAUCAAUUUUCACUUGUAUUCCUUGAACAUUACUCACUGCUCCUGACUAUAUUCAGGAUUGCAAAAUUGAAAGCAAAGCUGGUUUAUUUAGCCUUUGGAGUUUUUGUGCCCUUAUGCUACUUACAAGCCUGUCAUGAUUUGGCCCAUAAAUUGCUAAGUGCUUUGCACUUUCAAAGGAAUGAUUAAGGACAGUCUUGUCUAGAAAUAAGCUAUUUGUACUCCACAGUCAUCAACAGAACAUUGUUAAUAGGUGCUGUAGUGUUUGGCUUUGACUUACCCUUUGUAAAGUUCAUAGAGUCUGCCAUCUGAAUCAUAGACAGCAGACACACUGAGGUAUAAUCUCCUUGCUAUCUGCCAAAACUGAAAAGAUAUUAAACACAGAACAAUAGCAAAGAUAUACCUGAUGGUGCUGAGAAGAGGCCAUGUCAUUUAUAUUUGCCUCUAAAAGAUUCCUUUUGUACAUGAUGUUUGGAAGAUGAGGUAUUAUACAACUGUGUUUUUUAAAAACAAAACAUAGCAAGACAUGAGUGUUCACGUGUCUCUUCUGAACGCCAUCAAAUGCUUUUUGUCAAACUGAUAAAUAUCAAAUAUUGAUUUGUGUUGUUUUCCUGGCACUCCUGUUGAAUUUGUCAAGUUUAAUGGAUCUUCCCCAUGAAAUUUCAUUUAUCAUGGAAUCCAUAGUUGUUUUCAAGUGAAAUGACAGCUCUUAUGAUUGAAUAGUAACUUCAGCAUUAGUCUAGAUAAAAUUUGCCUGUUAUUGAUUAAAGUUGUGCAUCUUUAUAAUUAUAGAAGUCUGAUCUAUUACCCUUCCUUCUUGAGUGAUGCGUCAAUAGUAAUCUCAAAGAAUAGUUUGUUCAUCCUGUAUAUAAAAAAAGGCCUUAUUACAAGGAUUGUAGCUUGAAUUUAUGCAGCUCAAUACAGGCGUACAUCACCACUUUCCUCUUGGAUAUGGGUACAUCUUGGCACAAGGUUAAUAAAUACUUUUAAGGAAAUUAUGUAAAAGCAGUUUGUAAUUUCAUUCCAUUAAGUUUGUUCAGUAUGAAAAGACUGCAUUUGGGACUGCAUAAUACCCAGUUCCACUGCCUUCACUGUUGGACUGAAUAAGGACGUGGAGUUCCUUGGCACAGUCAGAAGUGAAGCCCAGUCACUCUCAGCUCAUAUUUUCUGUUGAGGAAGAAAUAUUUCUUUUAAGGAUUCUUUCUUCUGAAACAGAAGUCUGUUUUUCAGACACUGGUCAGUGCAGUACACUUAAACUCUAAUUUCAACUCAAGUACCUUAAGUAUACUUAUUCCAAACUGAAAAUGUGAACACAAAUGUCAGAAUUGUUUUGAGCAGACUUGCAAGAUGUGAUCUGUUUCUUGUAAUGAAAUGAGAUGUCAUUUAAGAAUGCAUUUUGGUUAAAAAAAAAAAAAAAACAAACUUUUUUUUCCUUCCUUUUUUUUUAUGUCAGGAAUGUUUAGCCUAAACUUAAUAUGCUUUAAUCUUCAUCUGUAUUUGUAGAGGGUUUCUUUUUAGAGAAAGCACUGUCACAAUUCCUUAAAUUGAAAUCAAUACCUGAAGUAGACUAUGAGUUUAUAUGAUUUCUCAGUGGAAAAAAAUAUUUUGAAAUUUUCUCAUGAUAACUCUGAAAGGGUCAGUAUUAAUGCAGGUUUCCAAAUGUAAUGGAGCAUAGUGAUAGAUGUGUAGAUGUUUAUGAUUAAUAUACUUUAUGUUACUUAUUUUAUUCUAGCCAGUAAUCAGUACAAUAUACUUAAAUUUCUUAAUUUGAGGCUUGAUCUGCUUUCUUUUCUUGUUAGUUUUCUUUGGAUCAAAACAGGGAGGACUUUUACUGGUUUUAGAUUUUCAGAGGCUUAAAAAUGACAUGUUAGGAUCUGCCCAAGGAUAUCCUGGCUCUGACAAAUUUUAACUUUGCUAAAAAAACUGCUUUUCUGCUUUAGACUUACUAGUCCCUGUGCGGAGGUGUGACAGGCAUUUUAUAAUGUCAGACAGAAUAUUAUGGCAGAGUGGGUGGAACUAAAAGAGAACUGACUUCAAAGCUUUCAUGUGAAGAAGCUUCUGUUCAUUUUUUUCAAGUUCUUAAAAAGUUAACUUUGUUCCUUUUUUUAAUGUGUGUCCUUCCACCAUGCUACUUCUCUGCUUUCCCACCUGACCUUUUCCCCCCUUCCUCUUGCUGCCCUUCUAUAACCAGCAUUCUGCCCAAAAUAGCACAGAAUUAACUUACCUGUGAAUAGUGUGUCUCCUAGGAGGCUUGCACUUCAGGCUCCAGCAGUGAUCAAGCUGAGUACUAUACUGGGCCCUAGAAAUGGCUUUAACAACAUUUUGCUCAAGAGCAAGCACAGUAAAAUGGCAACCAACCAUCUGUUGGGAGGAUGCUGAGAGCAAGAAGUGAUUGUCAUAUUCAACCCAAUUAUUUGUGGUUUUGAUCUUCAUCUAUGGCUAUCUUUUAGUGGUAAAGGAUCCAAUCAUUCUUAAAAAGGUGAGAGUGUUUACUGGAUUUAAGUGUUAAUUAAAGAUAGUGGAAGUUAGUUCUGUCCUUGUAUGCUAUUAUCAUAAAAAUAACCAAGUUAGCUUUGACCCAUAUAUUCUCUUUGUAUCAAAAUUCUGCAAAAUAUCUAUGAUUUUAAUGAAGGAGAAACAAAAAAUGAACUAUGUAGCCAUAUGGAUUUUUUUUUUAAAUUUUGCUAUCAUUAAGACUGCUAGAUGAGUUGAAAUGGAAGCUUUCAUUUAGAGCCAGAAAUAUACCACUCAAUUGAAUAGAAAAUAGUUUCACAGAGGAGCAAAGAGAGAGACAGAAAACUAAUUGCACUAAGGCACUGAUGAUUUCCUUGCUGAUGCCACAGCUCCUUAUAAGAUGCCUUCUGAAAAAUUUGCUCAGGUAUGUAUUACGCUAAAAAGCUCCUAUUUUUCUUUGAUUGUUUCUUGGUUGAAAACACUGUCAUUUUCUUGUGAGUGCUCUGAACCAUCACCAAAUUCUUUGUGGCAACUAGUGGAGUAGUAACACAUUUUCUGUAAAAAGUUUUGUUUCGAGAAUUUUGUCCUGACUUUACAAUAAUAGUGACAAUUGAGCACCAGAGACAGGAAGGCUUUUGAUGUGCGCUGACUAGCUAAGUGCUCUCUUCUUACAACUUGAAAUGGUAACAAUAGAAUGAUUUUUCGAUGCACUGUAAGAGUCAGUAUUUCUAUAUUAUUAUUUUUUUAAUUAUUGUGGUUAAGAAACAUACCCUGUCUAGAAAGCUGAGGAAAACACACAGUUCAGGGCAUAUUGAAGUUUCUUUCACAGUCAAGCUUCAUCUUGGAUCUUUGCAUACCUUUUGCACUGACCACUCAAUACCAUAAAUGGGCCCAGAGAUUAACCUUGGCUAAAUGCGGAUAAAUUUGACUUAAAUUUUGAGCUAGUAAUAAAGCUUGAUUUGAGGUAUUGCUUGAUGUAGCAAUGAGAACCAUGUCAUUCUGUUUCACAAGCAGAUACAAGGACAAUGUUCCACAGAGGAAUGAGAGCAAUAUAGGUAAUUCCCUAGAGAGAGAGAUGAGGGUAAGGAAAAUGGGGAUAUGGUGAGAACAACAGUGGGAAUUAAUGGAGGAGCUCUUAGUAGCUCAUCCUUGUCAAUGCCCUUUCUAGCCUCUGAGGAAAUCUAUUGAUUCCUCCCAUGUUGUUAAACUUCCUCAGUACUUGAAGGGUUUUACUGUUGAACUAAGACUGCUUGCUAAGUGCAUAAUUAACUCUUUCAUAGGCUUUACCUGUGUUGUGCUAUCAGCUUGUAUAAGAACAAGAAUUUGAAGUGCUCUCAUAAAUGUAUGAUAAAAUGAAAAUUGGUUUGUUUGCCUGUUUCUGUAGUCUAAGAUUCACCUUUUUUAUUUGGGAAAAAUAAGCAAAGCCACAAAACAAAAGAUGUUUUUGUGUAACAGUGCAUGCGUAUUGCACGUACACAAGUGGAUUUAUGUAUUCUGUACCUACUUAAAGACAUUCAGAGCAAGAGAAAAAACGAGUUAUGUGGUGGUGGGUUUUUUUUGUUUGUUUGUUUUCUUUUUUUUGUCAGACCCAUCACUACUUAUGGCUACAUUUUGCAGUUUCAUAAACUUGUAUGUUAUGCUUACAGUAAUUGGAAAGAGAUUUAGUAAAGAUUUAGGUUAAUUUUAAAAUAUGGUUUCCUUUCCAGUGCUUUUCCUUAAGUAUAUAAGAUAUAUUCCUGCAUAAUGAACUAUGGCUGAUUUCACCUUCUUGGUAGGCUAUGUUUAAUAAUUUUUUUUCACAUUUUUUUUCUUUUCUUUUGCUUUGGAGCUAAAGUAUUUGUGUAUUAAUACUCUAAAAAUAAUUUUAUUCAAUUGCAGCCUAAACAUUAAUGACAGGAACAUUCAGUAAUGGAUGCUUAAAACAUUCAGAAGUGCAAAUUUUUUGUGCCUGUUGGAAUGAAAAACCAUUCUGGUCUGCAAUCCAGGCCUGAUUGACAAAAUUCUGAAAUGAAUAACUAGAAAUACUGGAAAAUAAGGCAAUUCAUAAGGGAUGCAAAAAAAUGUACAUUCAGCUAAGAUAUUAAUCUUUUCUAAAUGGGAAAAACAUUUAUUGAAAAGUUUCAGCUAGUUAAUGAAGUAAUAGCAAGGAUUCUCAUUCUGUUAUACCAGUCUUAACUACUAAGGACAGUGAGUGGUACAGAAACAAUUCUCCAUCUAAUUCCACUUUUCAUUUGAGCAAGGAACACCUUAGGGACGUAGACACUGAUAAAUGGCUUUACUAUUAAACUCUAUAAAUUCUUGCCAGUGAUUUGGACCCUAACAACCUUCUUGUAUUCUAAAAAUAUAGAGUUAGAAUGUUAUUUUAACAUUUCAUAUUUCGGUAAAUAAUCCAUAUAUUUACAUCAGUAUUUCCCCUUUCAUUUAAAUGAAUAUUCUGCUUCAGUAGGAAAUGCGAAAUGUUAACACUGCUCAUAUCAGGGGCAGAUGGUUUAUCUAAGCAGUUUGUUUUCCAAUUUUCUUCAUUGGAACUUCAGAGGAGAAGAAUGGAUGACCUAUAAUCUAUAGUCUUUCUAUUGCUGAGUGAUAGGUUUGGAAUUUUUUAGGUUGAUGAGAAUAGGGUUGGGUUUUGAGCAUAGAAGAACGGCAUACAAAAGAAGUAGAGUCACAAAAGGUUGGAAUAUACUCCAUGAAUAUCUAAAAAUUUCUCUCAAAAAGGGAAUCCAAGCAAGCUGUCCAGGCUUGCACUAUAGCAAUGAAGAAAUAGAAAAGCAUUGCUGUGGGAUUUAUUGAGUGUCUUUCAGACAGUGAAUUAUCCCUGAAGAUAAUUCUGUCUCUGUCUACUGGGAGAGGAAAUGGGCAGCUAAUUUUGCCUAGAUAGCUUACCUGUUUUGUUAUAAGGAUGUUAAAUGCACUUUUAUCAUACACUUCUGACUUGUCUCUGCAUGGUGAAAGUUAUUUUUACUUAGUAUUAUACAAAAAAAGUUAUAUGUAUAAUCAUUGUGAGCUAUUUCAAAAGGGUAACGUGCCUUAUUCUAUUCAUCUGAUACUUCGGAAUUUUGUGGAGAAGAAAGAAUUGAUGGAGAAGCGUUGUUUUUGGAUGGGGAAAAUAUGUGAGACAAGUGAUCUGCUACAGAGAAGUACUGAAAUGAGACAGUGCAGUUGAUAAAAACAUGAAGGCCUUUUCUUUAUCCAGCUAACUGAUACUUCUACUUGGUCAGUGAAUACAGUGGGACAAGUACUAUCAAGGCACGGGGUAAGGAUGCUUAUCAAUAUACUGGGUAUAGCAAAAAUGUUUUUCUAAGUAUUUUGUGCUAGUGGUGUCUUGGAAGAGGAAAGAUGAUAAACUAUAUUGCCAUACUGUAAAGCUUGUUGUAGAUUUCUUAGUAUGUAAGGCUUUUACCUGGCAUCUAAGGACUGGGAAAAUGUUCCAUUUUGUUAAAGAAAGGGGAGAUCUGAUCAAAGCUCUGACACUGUUUGACAGGUAGCCAUUUUGCAGGUGGGUAUCCACACCUGUUAAACUCUGAUGUGCCCAGCAGCAAAAGACAAAACCACUGAAUGUCUUUGGAGGAUGCCAUGUAAGCAAUGAAUGUUUUCAUAUAUGAUGAAUGAGGAACAAAUAUAAACAAUACUUUUGCACUGACUUAUAGCCUGCCAUUCAAAAUCUGAUUUAAUGGUAGUGUGGUCUGCAUGUGAGCAUUCAGGAAGACCAAGUCUUUGUAGACUCUUAGUCCACAAAGGCUGGGAAGCUCUAUUCAUGCUGGUGUGAAACUUAAGAGUAGGAAAGUAGAAUCAUUGAGUCCAAAUGUGCCAUUACUAAAGCUACUAUACUUCUUCAUAAUUUACUGGACUGAAGUAACAUUUUAAGGGCAACUGAAAGGCUGUGGAGCUUGUGUUCAUUCAUGUAUUGAGAUGACUGAAGUACCAGUGUGUACAUUUCAACUUCCUUGUGUUUGCUGCGUGGACCUAAAAAAAAAAAAUUGUGGAGACUUUAUGGCCAGUAGUACAAAAAGCGUUCAAGUUGAUUACAUGUGGAGGUUGUUUUGUAGUUUACAUAUUUUACUUCCUUAGGUGUGGGGUGUAUUUCAGGCAAGGCAUGCAAAAAAUCCAGGGUAGAAGAAGUGGUAGCUUUCAUUUUAGGGGGAAAAAAAAAAAACACCUAGAAAACAAACAAACAUCUGUUCCUCUGUAAUUCUUCACCAUUUGCAGUAUUUAUCUUUGCUAGGUGACAUCCGUGGCAUUUUAGAGGUGAGGGGAUGGAGAUUACUAUGUGCUUAAUACCUACCUCAUGACUGUAGUGUUAGUAGUUGAUGAUGCAGUUGCUGGUAACAAUGCCAACUUCUUUGCGUGCCCGUUCAGUCACGGUAGGAAGUGAUAGAAUGAAAACAGAUUCACAAUGCUAUUGUGAGUGGGUUUGAAAGCCAAGCUAUACAAGCUGGGUUCUGCACUCUGUUACAUCUGGUGAAAUGAGACAAAUCACCAGAGUGAAUUCUUAAGAGCAUAAAAUAUGGCAGUGCUUAGUAAGGAAAACGUUCUGUUCUGCUUCUGUAAGGAAAAUACAGACUUUCCUUAGCAAAGUCUUUUUGGGGGCUAAAACAAACCAACUCAACUGCUUGAAAUUAAAUGGUUUUUAUGAGGUGUUGUCCUGGUAACAUUCAUCUCUUGUGAUGGUUAUUUGGUGAACUGCAUUUUAACCAAGCUUUAUGGCUGAAACCUAAUUCCAACUAGAUGGAUAACUGUAUUUACAGAUGAGCUGCCCUGUUGGCAAUUACCUGCAGAUAUAGGGGACAGGAGAAUGGAAAGACAGGAAACAGUAGCUUUUAGUCUAUGCAAUUAGUCUCUGGUAACUAGGCGCCUUUGGAAGAAGCUAGAAAUUGUCUGCUUUAUUCUAAGCAUAGCAGUAAUUGCCCACACCUCUAACCAUAGAAACAGAAGAAAUGGAGGAGGGCAGAUGAUAUGUAAAAUCCACCAACUCACGGUAGAUUCAUUUGCGUUGGAGAAGCGUAAGAGCUCUUGUGCGAGAAAGGCUAUGGCAGGCAGUUUUCAGAAUUCAAGACUUGAGUGAAGUCCAACAGUCAAGAUGUUAAUUACUGUCAGACUUUCCUUAUUAGUAAAACUGAAAGUGUGUUAUUUAUGAAUGCUAGGUGUGCGCGCAAGACUACUCCACUAAUGAUCAUUACGUGGUCUUGUUUUUAAUUUUUUUCUUCUUACUCUGAAUGAUCUGUCAGCAGUUGGAAUUUAUAGGAUUCUAAAUUUAGGCUAUUUAAAUUCAUUGAAAAUGUGGUGUCUUAUUGUAACAAGUCACUAAAUGUACUUCUUCCUAUAAAGUGGAAUUUAAGGCUCAAAAAGCAGUUUGCACCUGAAGUAUACUUUGAGUUCAGCAUAAAGUAGCAGUUGAAAGGUGUUCACACUUCUUAUUUUCUGUGGAUCAUUUAAUCCUGUCUGUUUAGAUUGUCAUUAUCAUGUGUUGAGGAUUUGAUUCCAGGUUUACUACAGAACAGGUAGCAGAAAUACUAAACAAAGUAACUAAUGCAUCAUAUAUGCUAUUGCCUUUUAAAGGAAUCAUUAGCUUAAAUACAAGUUCUUACAAAUGUCUCUGAAUCAUUAAAAACACAAUGCUCUUGGCUCUUUGUUAAUUCCGGGCUCUCUGUACUAUACUUGAUUGUGUGUUGUAAGUACUAUGCCAUUCCACAGUAUAGGCUAAGUUAUUUUCCAUAUGUUGAAAUCCAGUUUUGUUUGUAUCAAUUAAAAUUGAUGGGGCUGUCAUAAAUAUCAAACAGCUUAGCUUAUGACUGUGUCAUUCAAGCCAUUUCAUAUAUAAUACACAACUCAAAGUCUAUGUGUAUGAGUCUAAGGGAAACAUUUACUUAAACAGCCCUAUUCUUCAAGUGACUCUGAAUAAUAAUGUUCCCUACUUCUAAGAUCUUAAAAAAUAAUAAUAAAAAGAUUUAAGUUGGCCUUUGUUUUUGACAUAUACAAUAAGUUUCAAUAGCUUCAUUAACCUGUGGAAGAUGUUUAUAAAUUCUCAGGCAAUUGCUUUGCUCCCUUGCCCCUCAUUUGGGUUUACACUUAAUGAGAAUUAGUUCACUAGUUUAUGCUCUGAAUGUCAUCUCUAAGUUCUGCUUCCUAGGUCUGAAAUUAAGAAAAAAACUUUACUUUUACUACUUCUGAUAGACUGUUACCUAGACAAUAUUUGCUCAAUGCUGCUGAAGAUUUCUCUGAGGGAGUGGUGAAUAUAAUCAUGAAUAUAAUCCUGUUUGACCUUACUGAGAUCUGUUUUUUUUGUUGUUGUCAUCCCCUGAACCCCUUUAAAAAAAAGGUGAUCUUUGCUGUUCUUGUGUCUUUCACAACACUUGUGGCUUUUUUAUUUUAAAUUACCAAGUGCUAUAUUGGCCUGUGUGAUUUUCUUUGCACAUAGAUCUCUGAGGUGUUGGUGUAUUUUCUUGUAUGUAUUGUGGCUUAAUCCAGCAGGAAGCUCAGCAACACACAGCCCUUUGUUCACUCAUUGGUUUGGAGGGGGGAGAGAAAUCUAGAAUUGAGGAAAGGCGGUUUACUAAUAAGACAAAAACUGCAUGCCCAUGCAUAAAACAAAAUAGAGGAUUAAUUCACAAUUUCCCAUUGGCAGGCAGAUGUUCAGCCACUUCCAGGACAGCAGGGCUCAUCAAGCAUAAGAGUUUCUUGAAAAGACAAAUGCCAUCACUCUGUUUCCCACCUUCCUUCCUUACUCCAGCUUUUAUUGUUGAGUGUAAUGCCAUAUGGUAUCAGAUAUCCCUUUGGCCAGUUUAGGUCAGCUAUCCUGGCUGUGUUCCCUCCCAGCUCCUUGUGCACACCCCGACUCCUUGUUGACAGGGCAGCAUGAGAAGUCCUAGCACUGUUCUGCAACUACAUCAGUAUGCUAUCAUCAUUAUUUUCAUCAAGAAUCCAAAAUGUGGCAUCAUACAUGCCUCUAUGAAGAAAAUUAUCUCAGCCAAAAUCACGACAAUAUCCAUCCUUAUUCCAAACCACUUUCAUCGUACUUGCAUCCCAUGCUUUCUAAGAUAUCCUCAUUAACCACCCCCCUUUGAUUAAUGCACAAAUACCAUUCCUUUAGUCUAUGGACCAUCCCUAUGAAAUGUCCAUAAAGUGUUCAUUGAGUUCUUUUAGUCUAUAACUUGGGUUCUUUCUAUUAUGAUGGUUGCUCAGAGGAGGCAGUGUGGUGAUUGAAGUUACAGGAUGCCAAAGCCAGCUCAAGUUGGGUCACUGCUGCUUUGGAGGUUCAUCUCUGUUGAUCUGAGCAGUUCCUGCUAUAGAACUUCAUAUAGCAUGCAACUCUAGUCAUGGUUUAUAACACUUUAAAGGCAUAUCCAUUACAGUCUUCAUUCCUUGCCCUUUUGGACCAGGCCGGAAGAUAUAAUAUUGCAAUGAACUCCUCCCCUCACCCUUGCUCAUACACGCUGUGCAUACAUUAUGACUAUGGUCUUCAUAUGCUUUCUGUCACUGCUUUCACUUCUUAUGGUAGUUUGGGAUGUGUCAUGUCUGUUGUGUUUGACUACUGUUACUUUUUCAUAAUCAUGGCUUUUUCAUUUUGUUCACGUUGUAUGUAUAAUGAAGCUCAGUUUCAGGUUCUGAUCUGCUAAAUCUAUUGGUAAAAUCAUUUUCUGUCUGAAUUAACCAUGUUUCAUUUUUUUUGUGUCCAAACUGACAAGGAAAUGGAAAAUCCAUUGUAGGCAUCUGCCAGUUGAUUUAUAAUCAGUCAGUAAAUAAUGGUAGGCUGUCUUUGAAGUCUAUGUUUGCUAAACUUGUUCUCAAAGCAAUUUAAAAGGUUGCGAAAAUGAAGAGGCAGUUAUAAAAUUAGUAAGUUAGAUGGAAACAAGUAUCAUUGGAUAGAAAAAAAAAUCAGGCAUAUAUGAUGUAACUUGACAUCAUAUUACUUUUUAAAUGAUUGUAGAGAAUCCUGUGUUCAGUGUUGUCAGUCUUUUUUCUUUUAGCUAUUAUUAAAACAUCAAUUUGCAUUCCUCAUAGCUUAGCUAUGGUUACAAAACAUAAAAAAUAGAAAUACUGCUACCUGGCCUCUAAGGAGUUCUAUUACCAUUUACACUAACUCCUGGAAAUAUGCUCUUAUGAAUUGUUAUGUUAUUAUAAUUUGAGGGAGGUGAAAUAUCAAACUGAGGUUAAUUUCUCUUAAGUUUUAUCUGCGUAUGGGAAAGUUUUUAUUAUUGCUAUUAUUACAUAUUUUUAAGUUCUUCAUUAAGCACCACAAUAGAGAAAAUAUCUAAAAAUAUGCCAAAAGGAUGAAAAAAAUUAAAAACGUACUUGAUGUUGCUGAUUAAUUAGAUUUGCCAUGAAACCAUUCCAGUGUUAUUCUAGCUUAAAGCUAGAAAUUUCCAGGACAAUGUUUGAAAUAUAAUGAUGAGGUUUUUGUUCUCUGAUCUGUUCACGUAUAGAAAAUUGCUCUCCACUUUCAUCUCUGUUUAAUCCUUCUCUUCAUAUAGGUUUGACCCUACUAACUUCUGCAAUCCAAUUAACAUCUUGUAAUAGGUGUUUGCUAUUAUGUCAGGAAUUACCUGGAAGAGAUAGCUCAUUAAAGUUUCUUUGAUGUGUUACUGCAUUUAGAGAACUGAGAUGACCAGCUGUCUGUCCAUGGGCUGUUUCUAGCCCCAAAUGUUUCACACAGCUUGCUCUUUUUGUGAAAAGGCUUGGAAGGUAGCUUCCAACAUUCCCAGGAUACCUGUGGUUCCUCUUGAUGUAUUUACUGGGGAUUUGCCUUUGCUGAUAAUGCCAUAUGAGUCUGGGUUUUUACUGCUUUUCAUCAGGAUACAUCCUAUCCUUUCCCUGUGUCAUUUGGGUCCUCAGGCAAGAGGACAACUGGAAGAUAGUUACUGAAGGCUGUUAUAUGUCCUGGCAGAAGAGAAGACCUACUGUUUGAUGUGUGAACAAAAGCUUCAGAGGCAAGUGUAGGUCAUUUGGCACUGUAUAUGUAGAGAAUGUGCUGAAUUUACUCUGCAUGCAGAUCAAUUUAUCCUGUUUUAUGCAGCUUCAUGUCUUGCUAUGGCAGAAAGCUGGCCUUUGGCGGUGCUGUAGUGGGGAGGGUGGUGAUGCAUGUUAAUAGUUAAACUACCUGAACAGAUUUCUUGACACCUCUGCUAUAGGGGUGAUGCUGAAAUCAUCUAGGGUGAUUAUGGUGAAAUGUACGCUAGCAAGUAAGCCAUGAGGUGUAGGUGAGUCAUCUUCGUGCUCCAAGGGGUGGCCCAGAAUCAUUGGUAAACUGCAGACUGUCCUACUUAGACUUACUAAGACCUACUUAGUACAAAUAGCUUCAUGCUAAAUGUCCUAGUGGCCAACCUUUUUUCUCUUUUUUCUUUCUCAAUCAGCUGCCUUUACUGACAUGUGCAGUUCAGCUUAUUAUUUCUCUAGGGACAAGGGGCAACAGGCAGGAACUGGAACAUAAGAACUUCCAUACAAACACAAGAAAGAACUUCUUUACUGUGAGACUGUUAGAUCACUGGAACACCCAUUCCAGUGCCUGUAUAACAUAUCUAGUAGAAAUUGAGUAGUGAAGGGCAUAAAUGUCUCCAACAUAUCUGAUAAUAUGUAAUUCCUGUUCCUAUCUAUUCUCUUACUUGUUAUUUUUGAGACUCAAAUCACACUGAAUAAAAACCUAUAUUUGAAUUCUCUCAUAUAUGUUAAUAUUCCCCAAUUAAACUUCUUAAUUCAAUACUACAUGUUACAUAUAUUUACUGUGCUGUUGCAUAUUUUUGCGUAAAUAGCGGUAGUUAUCCAACUUUGUCUUGUCUGCAUUUUUGUAUCCUAGAAUUGUAUUAUUAAAAGUAUUCAAUCAAAUCAAUUUAAAUUCCUCAUUAGGCAUGAAUAAAUCAGUAACAGCUUUUUUUCCAGUAUUUGACUGUGAAUCAUGCAACUGAAACUGGAAAGAGAACUGUUGAGAAAUAUAAAGUCAAGUGCUGUGCCACUGAUUUCUGCCCUUGCCUAACUAAAUUAGUAAUUAAUUAUGGAACAAAAUACUACUGGGUAAAGAUGGAAAAAUCUGGCUAUUCUGGUACUACAAAUUUCCCCACUUAAUAUUUCAAAUGCUUGAUGAAGAUUUUUCCCUAUUUUUCAAACUUAUUUGAAUACACAAUAUUUCUGAUUAAGGAUGAGAAGUUCACUUAUUUGCAACACGCCUUUUUCUGAGAAAGUUAAAUAGAUAUUUAAAGACAGAAGACCUUGAUAAUGGCAGACUUUAGUUUUUGCGGAGACAUUAUGACAGGUCACAGGAAAUCAAAGCCACACUGAUUUUCAUUAUUUUCAGAAAAUAGAGGAGGUCACCAAAAUGUGACUAUUUUAGAUGAUAUUCUUAAUGCACAGGGAGAACGUCUGGAGAAUUUGAAGUGACCUACUAAUUCAUUGGGAGUGUUUAUGGAGUGAUAAUGCUUACAACCCUACAGAAAAAAAGAAGUUAGCAGAGUAAAAUUAAAAAAAAAAAAAAAAAGAACUUGGGAGAAAUCAGUCUUUGGGAAAUGGUGAUCUGGAUCUCUUAGGAAAAUCAUCAAGGUAAUAAAUCUUUCUCUUCAAACUUCCUAUAAAUAAGUUAUGAGAAAAUGGACUAUGUUAAAAACAGUAGCAAAAUAUCUGGGUGCAGAAGAAGGGAUGUGAAACAUAUGCAGAGGGUUUACUUCACAUGUUGCCAGAGCAGCAUUUGGUCCUUUUUUCUCUGUUACAUAUUUUGUCUGCUCUCACAAUUUACCUUUUCUCCGCCAUUUCUCUAAUCUAAUCUCCAAGGGCUGAGAAGGUAUUUCUGUUACUUCUCAUGCGCUCACAAGCAAUUCUUCUGCAUUAGGAUUCUAUUUGAAAGAGAGGUCGAAGAAUGGCAAAAGACAACAAUAAACAGUGGGUACGAGCAAACAGAUAAUAUAGAAAAGGAAGCUAGUAUUUGAAAUGUGUAACUGAUAAGGAAGAUGAAAGGGUUAUAAUGCAGUCAUGAAAAAUGGUGACAAAUAAAGGAAUGUACUAUUGCUCUUCAGACUGGAAGAGCAAAUGAUAGCAUUGAGGCCUUUAUGUGUUGGCUUUCAGAACAGAGAUACAUUGUAAAUAGAUGUAUAAAACAUUAUUUUUUAAUAAAGAUACAUACCAAAAUAGGAAAAUAAUGUAUUUAACAGGUUUACAUUAACUAGGAUGUUUUUUUUAAUUUACAAACUCUGAAGUAUCUUUUCUAUUAUUAUUUUUUUCUACAAGGGCUUAAAAAUAGCAGUUUUUGAAUCUUUUUUUUUUAAAGAAAUGAUGGUGGACAGGUUUCUAGGGAACUGAAGAAUAACAAACAGCGUGCAGCAAAUGCACAUUCAAAGUGAGGAAAAAUGAGCACCAUAGACAGUAUUGGGAGAAGAAGAAAACUAAAUGAAUUAUGAAUCAAUUUGUAAGACACAGAGGAUAAUUAAAUAAGAAAGCAACCUGGUGAAUCUUACAAGAAGAAUUGCGCCAAAAUUAUAUGCUUGCUUUCUUCAAUGGAAAAUCAUCAUCUACUUGAUAGAAAAGAAAGGGAAAACAGACUAGGAUACUUUACCCUAGUAAGGAUUUUGAUGUCAUUCUGCAUGACAUUAGCAAAUUAGUGUAAUAUUCAGAAGGUGAAAUGGCUAUACAGUGCAUGGGCAAUGGGCUGAUCUCCUGCAACCCCAAGUCACUCUGUGUUUUUCUCACAAAUGGGAAGGACUCAGUAAAUACCUACGAAGAUUUCUCUUGUACAUAUCUAUUCAACAUUUUCAAGUUCAUUUUUGCUGACAGAACAUCUCUGGAGUUCAUUAUAUUAGGAAUAUUUCAACUAUUACAGAAAAAUACCAGAACAAGCAAUUUUUGGAAUGAAAAUAUCACCUGUAAUUUUUCAAAUUUAGGAGGGAAAAAAUGAAAUUCUUAAGAAAAGGAGAAAUGAUGUGCUGGCUAAUCAAUGCUACUGCAGCCGAGGAUCCUACAGCUUGUAACAGAUGGUUAGCCACAAGAAAAAGAUCAAAUACUUUGAAAAGUCAAGAACUUUUCUUCUUAGUGUACAAGGAAAAUCACAGAUAUUAUGCUGAACUGAAUCAGCAAGAAUUUUACUUGUAAAAUGUUUGAUUUUUUAAUUAUUAUUCUUUGACAUAAGUGAAGAUCUCAGCUUGAAUAGUGUGUGAAGUUAUGAAAACAGUCGAACAAUAUGAUGUAGUUAGAAAGAUGAAAGUAUGAUCUUUUAAAUAAAAAAACAAAACAAAAUAAAACUUCACCAUGUAGCCAUAGUACCAGAAGAUUAUAGAAAUAAUUUGUAGAUGUUGACAGAUGGGGAAAGUGCUAUUAAAUGGUGAGGAGUAAAAUACUGGAAUUGCUUACUAAGAACGUGUGUGGGACCUCUUUCAGUUCAUGCUAGACUGGGUCAGCAGUUUGGUUAUUGUUUAGAGAUGACUUACUUUCCUUUCCUGCUAGAGUGCAGACUUGUGGAUCUCAAGACCUCUUCUAGCCCUACUUUACUAUGAUUUUUUCUUAUUCAGAACUCUAAAUAUGCUUCUGUUUGGUUAAAUAUAAAUUUAAACUCUGUUUGGUUAAAACUACUGACAGAUCUUUUGUGAUGAGAACAGUAUGUUCAAUAACUUAGAACACAGAAUGACUUGCGUGGGAUUACUGCAAGUAUGUAGCCACUGCAGUCAGCAUUUACGUAGGAAAAUAACUUACCAAAAACUCCUUAGAGAUUUGGUAAGAAGUUAAUGACUAUUUAAUUUUAUCCAUAGCAUAGGUAAUAGAAAAAAAAUAUUUGAUUCAGAUUUAACAUUUUCCCUCUGUUAUCAUUGUCAUGCAAAGGAGUAGCAUGAAAAUCUGGUAAAAUUUAUAUAUUGCAGACACAAUUCCCACCUGAAUUCAGGGUGGAAAAGUGUACAGAAAGGUAUAGAACUUAAAGUUACCAAGCAGUUUUGCUACUAUGUUGUGCAUAAUUUGUUAAGUUUUUAAUGUCUGCUAUGGCAGACCUAAAUAAGAAAAUGAAAGUUUUGGGAGUAUAUUAAUAUAUUGCAGUAACAAGCUGGAGAUAAAUCAUUUAGUAUUGGGCUAUAUCUAUUAAACAUUAUUUUUCUCUUGAUAUCCCAACUGAUUUGUAGUGUGCUGACUUCAACCAAUCAAUCAAAAAAACUGGUUGCCAAAAUUGCCAAAGGAGGAAAAUUAAAAAAAAAUAAAAGCCUUUUUGAAGGUUCUGAUGAUAUUCUGAGAGUAUAAGUUAAAAUUUCAAACACAUCUGCCACUCCUGAAAUAAGUUGAGGAACUGCAUUUUCUGUCAAUCUAGAAGUUUUUUACAGGAGAUAAUGUGAUGUCAGUAUUUAUAUAAAGUAUUUAUUUCUACAAGAAAAACUUGCUUGUUAUUAGGCAGUUUUCACAUUAAUGACUGUGACUGCUUGCAUAUUUGGAUAUUAUAUUACUCUGCUAUUUGGACUUGUAAAUAAUGUCUGUCUCUACAGAGAUAAAGAAAAAGAAAACUCCCUUUGAAGGUGAUUUCUUGUUAACUAGUAUUUUUCACAAUGCUCUCUCCAAAUGAAUUCAGUCAGUUCAUACCACUUCACCCUGAGGCUGCCAAGUCCAUCUGGAGAUAUCCACGUUUUAGGGGAAGUUCUGAUGUAUAAAUCAAUAAGAACUUGGUCCAGUUCAUUUAUCUUCUUCCCCUUGAGUCAUCAGCUUUAGGAAGAAAAAGAAAACAAUAACAAAACAAAAACAUUCCUUUGCAAUCUUCAGAAGCAGUAUGAUGUCCAAAUUAUCCUAGAAGCUUAAUAUUUGGACCACCAAUCAAUUGGCAUUUCAAUGAUAAUGUACCUUUUGUGAACACUUUUUGCAAAUGAGAUUAAGGACAUUUUCUUCUUCAAAACUGUAUACCUAGUAAGCCAGAGUUUAUAUUUCAGUUUUAGAAAAGGUCUGAAGCACUGAUGAAUGCAGGCCCAUGGCUGUAGCUUCCUCACCAAGUAGGUUGAUGUUAUCAGUUUAAAAAAGUAACUACACUAUAACCCUAUGCAAAAUACCUGAUGGAAUUCAUUUUCCAGUUGUGCUUUAAAUGUUUUCUUCAGAAUUGGCAGGGUCAUCAUUAUUGUAGAAAAGGAGAUAAUAUAAUGGGAUGUGAAACUUACUAGCAGUGAAUGUGUGUGAAGGAGUGGAUCCUGAUUAGCUAUUCUGUGUGUGCUGUGUAUGCAGCUCUCCAUUCUUAGUGCCCCAAUAGGUUAUGAAUGUAAUUUCCAAAGUGUAUAGAGUAAGCUGGCUAUUACCGUCGAAUCUUUGCAUACUUAUGUAAGGAGGUUUUCUCUAUGGAGUUUUUGUAUCAGAAAUAAUUGAUUUGGAAGUUUAGUUGUUUUUCAAUUUCUAUUAAAUGGCUCUGAAAACUGUAGAAAAAGCAAAAGGGAUGUAACCUAGAGAGAGGCAAGAUGCACCACCUUCUUUGUCUUUCUGUUAGCAGUGCAUCUUGCACAUUUACUGUAUUUAAGUGCAGCAUUUGACUACUAGUGUGUUUUAUCUCUUUAUUGUUUGAUUCUAUUUUAUUUUAUAGAGAAUUCUCUAUUUUAUAGAGAAAUUUGAAUUAUGGUUUUCCAGAACGAGUUCUAAUAUCUGAGUACUGUGAAAUUCUCCUUCACUUCACCAUAUCUUUAGAGGGUUGAUAAAUACUCAACUCUUCAUUUGUUGCUGUACUUUGCCUUUCCCUGUAAUACUAUCUUUGUACUUUAGAAUUUCUCCUUUUUUUUGAUUGGUUCUGGGCUUCUGAUGCUAAUUUAGGAUCUUGAUUCCAAACCUGAAAACAAUUGAUGACUCAGUCAACGUAUGUAAGAGAAUUAUUUUUCAUUCUGUUGUUACAGAAUAACCAGGCUUUUGGGGAAUGUAUGAGUACAGGCAUUUUUCAAGAGUACUGUGUGAUGCAAGUUUCUUUUAGACCCAUCAACAGCUUGCACUGUAAUGAUGAUUAUGUAGCAACUUGGUUAUUUGCACAGAUGUAGGUUUUUUUUAAAAAAAAGAAACUCUCUCCCUACAUCUCCAUGGAAAGAUGAGUUUCAUUUGCAAUACAAUUCCAGGGAAGUUGACUUAAAGCAGCUUCAAAGCAAUCUCGCCUUAGCUUCCUUCAGGGGAAUAAUCCCGUUCAGAACUGUCGUUAGGUAUCCACCUAAGACCAAUUCAUCACCUAACAGAAUUUUUGCCUAAACUGAAAAGCAGCAGAGUUAAUUACUGAAUAGCUUUGCUAUUAUACAAGAUAGCUAUUAGUUUUGACCACUUGCUGUAAAGCUUUUAGAAACAUUGCAUUCAGACUUUUGGUGAUGACACUUUGAAUUUUGGUGUUUUAUAAAUUAUUAAAAUCAGCCAAGGAAGCUUGUAGGAAAAAAAAAACACCACUACCAAAAAAAAAAAAAGAACAAAAAAACCUAUAAUAUUUUUGCACAGAGGAAUGUUAUCUACCAUUUAAACAACUGUUUAAAAAAAGAUUUUCAUUUCAAGGUAAAUGCUUCUUCAGACAUUGCUGGCCAACCGUACUCAUUUUUGCUGACACCAUGGAUUAUUGCUGUAAAUGACUGCAUGUUGACUUUUACACAAACGUGCAUGCUGUGUAGAGCUCUCUUCAAAUUCUCUAUACUUUUCUAUUUCAGACUGUUUCUUUUAUCUAUGAUCAGAGUUGGGCUUUAUUUCUUACUGUAGUGUUCCAUUUAAUGCUACAAAUGUUUGUAAAAAAAAUUUCAUUUAGGUUUUCUUCAUAUAGUGACGUUCUGCUUUUAGUGUUUGCUCCAGUGAGGCUAACCUUUGGGAGGUAGCAGUUAAUAAGACUUCAGGUUUAAAUUUCUGCCUCUGGAUUUAUGCCUUGAUAGGUGGUUUUCCUUAAAAUACAUAGAGCCUUUUCAACGUGGUUAAGAUAGUUGAACACUUUGGACAGGCAGUCUCUACGGAGGAUGACUGCUCUCCUUUUGUGUGAAGUGAACAGGAAAAAGAGGAAGAAAUGUUUGGGCAGCAUCUAUGUGUAUUUCUGUAUGUACACUGUAAGCUGAUGGUGGUUGCCAUCUUUGGCCGCCUUCUUGUUCCCCCUCGAGAGUCUUUAGGUAGCACUGUGGACUUGCUUGCCAUCUUUUCUCUAUAUACAUGUGCAACUGAGGGCUUCACAUCUGUUCUUAACCUUCUUGUCAUCUUCCCUAAAUGGUUUCAGUUUGUUUUAGAUUAUUUGUUGUUUUCCUACUUACAGGAUGUUACUAAGAAACCAUGAGUAGAUUUGCUGGGAUCUUCAUGGCAGUUAAGUCUGACAAAAACCUUCUGCCCAUUCUCCUUUCUCUUCUUGCUCCUUCUGGUGCUUCCCCACCCCUGCACUCUCUAUUCAUAGCAACCUUUACAUUUCUAUUACAAAUUUCUGUGCAGAAUUGGAAGAAAUUGUUUUCCAUGUAUGGCUGAUGUACAGUGCAGUGAAAGCAUUAUACAAGUAGCUUACCAAAAGUAAAAUGGAAAUUGCAAGGAUAGAUCAGUGUUUUCUGAAUUUCUUGAUUCAACAGCCAAAAAGGGAGUCACAGACGAUCCUGUAGCUAUUGGAUGCACAAGACCCUAAGAUACAGCAUUCUCUGCUGUGUUUUUGGCUGUGUUCUUCCAGCAUGAGGGAGCGUGUGGAGAGUGAUACGUGUAACUAACACCCUGCAGGAGGAGGGAACUGCCAAGAGCUGGUGCAAAGGCGAGAAGCAGCUGCCAGCGGCCUUGUUUUUCUCCCUGUGAAAGAAAAGAUAGAAUGAGGAACCAGGGAAUAGAAAUCAUCAUCUUCUCAGCUCAGAAACACUUCAAAUGCUGGAAGGCGUCAGGGCUGGUGUUAGGACUUUCUCUUUCCUACUGUCCCCUUAGGACUCACUUUCUAGGAAAGAUGCACGAGGAAGCGAGCUCCAUAAACAGACAAUAAGAAAAGUGUGGUUUUCAAUGCAUCUGUAUUGCAGUGGUUAGUGGCACUAUUAAACUGAAGUGCUGACUUCCUCUUGAAAAUCAUCGUUGCUUUUGUGGAUCACAUUCAGAUGUUCAUUCUCCUCCUCCGAAAGGCUAAAGUAUAGAGAAAGCAAAAGAUGGUAAAAACAAUAAUUUUUAAAAAGACUGAAAGAAAAAUAGAACAGCUAAUUCCCAACAGGACGUAGACACUGACAUAAGAGAGGGCAGAUUUUGGGGACAAGUUAUAAAAGAACAUAUAAAUGAUGGGAGAAAAGACAGGAAGUGUGCCAGGGAUAUGUAACCCAAGUGCGGUAUGGUGCAGAGGCGCCUGUGGCUGGCUGCUUCACUGCUUAUCUGUGCAGUGCUGCAAGCUGCAUCUGGUGAGAGAUGAGGCAAAGGCUGCCUCAUCCAAUCUAAUGUAAAUAUAAGCAAGAAGACUUCGAGAUUGCCUUUCUGCAGUGUCAGAGUGCAAGGAGAAAGGAAAGGAGGGAACAGGAAGAAAAGAAAGUGAGGAAAGAGGAGAUUACAGAGGUUCUGAUACCUAAGGAGGCUGAGUACUUAGUGUAAGAAACAACCAAAGGACACAUGCCUCCUACACACUGGCCCAGAACAGCUUGCAUCCCCCUGUGUUAAGAUUCUGAAGUUGUCCACGUGUGAAAGACUUUGCAGUAAAUUUAAGAAGUGCAAUGGGAAUGGUAAAUAAUUAGCCUGGAAUUGCUUGCAGUGGUACUGCUCUUCUGUUGUGUGUGGUAUGAACAACGCUUGCUAUUUCCAGCUGAACAUCACUUUCAUUGAUGACAAAAAGUAAGCGUCUGAUCUUUUUAAAGUUCUGGUAAUACUGAGAGUUACUAAGGGUCAUUUACCCUGUCUCCUACAGAGAGUAGAAUCAAGAUAUGCAAAAAUAAAUGGUUUGUUAAAGUUCAGAGCAGAACUGCCACAGAAAAUAUUUCAUUGGUCUCAGCUACAGAAGUUUAGGUACUAGCUGAGGCAACAGCAGAGAUAUUCAUCUAGGCAGUCCUUCUCUGACCUGAUAAUGAAGUAUCCCUGGUAAGUCCUCCUCUUACUUCACAAAUUCAGUAUUCGACCUAGCACUGCCACUUUCUUCUUGGAUGAGUGCUACAGUGGAAUGAAGUCUGGUCCAAUCUCAGCACCACAGUGAGCUGAAAUUCUUGAGGCAGAAUGAAGUAAAUCAGCAAGCUUGUUUUGGUGCUGAAUUAAAAUAAUUGCUGCAUAAAGUUUGGACUAGCAUGCAUUUUAAUAUUUAAUUCAGAAAUCCUUAUUUUAGAGUUUCUCUAACCUUGUAGCAUGAUUAAAAGACAAAAAUCAGGUGCUGGCCUUCUA